CUCCGCUCUCCUCUUCUCUCUCCCUAUUUUCUAGAUUACAACUAGAACUAACUAGAACUAGAACUAGAGGAACUAGAACUAGAACUAGAUGAACAAGAACUAGAUCUAGAUGAACUAGAGGUAGAACUAGAAGAACUAGAGGGAUCCUCUCUACUUGGAUGAAGAAUUGAAACCCUAGCUUUGAUUUUGUAGAAGAGGUAUGAUCUCCAGGGGCCAGGGGGGUCUGGUUUUAUAGUCCCUUCAAGUGAAUCUGGGCCGUUGGAUCAAACCGACAUUGAUCGUGUGGUUUUCCUUGAAGUAUUAGGUCGGUGGAGUGUUGUCCCCGAAUUGGACUCUGUUUGGUCCAGGGGGGAGGGCGAGCGCCCAGUGCCCGGCUCCGUUACGUCUCCCGUUCGUUUCCGUGGCUUCUGGAGUCUUCUAGAUGGUAGAAAAUUGCGCGGCACGUUAAUAUCUCUAUGUAAACCCGACGUGUGGGCCUUUCUUCCUUAUUUCCUGAUAACCCCCUGCAGAAAUAGACAAACACCAAAACUCGUGGAAUUCUGUCAGAUAAAACCCUAAGUCUAGGUGUUGGUUCCAUUUAGAUCCUUUUCCAUGAUUAGUUGAUGGUUAAAUGUGAGCAUUAAGGACCGUCAACAAGCUCCCCCAAGCUUAACCUUUGCUCGUCCCUGAGCAAAGAUGAACUCAAGAGUUUCUGCAGUGGUUUCAUAACUUAAAGAUACACAUGCGUUUAAACAAGAUCUCAUCUCUGGUUAGAGUAAACUGUUAAGGCUUAAAACUUACUCAUUUACCUUUCACCAUGGGACUUGUAACCGUCACUUCUGUCUUGAGUAGUUAAAAGAUAGAACGGUCUAGUCAAGCACCAUGUCUCUUAUUCUUGAUCAGCUAUAGCUCUGGAGUUUUUGCAGAUUUUCAAAUAAAACUCAGAGAUUCCUUGUAUGACUCUCUCUAGUCUCUCUUUUGUGGUAUUUCUGGAUCCUUACCAAGGCAUUAAUGGUGUAUGCCUUCUCUCAAAGUAUGUGGUAUUUGUGGUAUAAGGCAUAGUGGCAUUGCCUUCUCUCUCACCCUACUCUAAUAAGGCUUUUGAUAUCUGGAGCUCAUAGGUGGGCGACAGCUAAUACAUACUUACAAGACAUUUAUUGCAUAGUCAAACCAUGGAUCCAGAAGAACAAGUCAAUAAGUCAAAUCAAGAUGUGCAUGUAUGGCGAAUUAAUGGUGUAUGGUGAUGAUGGUGAUAACAAUGGUGAAAGUCUAAUUCUACUUAUGCUCUUUUGAGAGGAUACAUACCUUUCUUGCUCUUUUGAAACUUUUUGAGGAGAAUGAGAUGCUCUAUAUUUUCUUUUUCUUUUCUCUCGGGUGGGUAUCUUGUACCCCUAAUUCUACUGUCGGACACUUGUCCAUUUUUACCUCUCGUCUCACUCUCUUCUUUUUUUUCGAGGUUCCGGGCACUUGCCCCUUUUUAUUUCCUCGUAUUUUUUUUCUCUUUUUUUUAUUAGAGCACUCAUCUCAUGAGAUAAUAUAGCAAGUGGUAGUAACCAAGAUAACUUGAGCAUUUAUUUCAUAGGGGAAAACAGAAAUGUUUUUGGCUAUUCUCUCCUGGAUUAGGAGUAGAAUAUUUUUGGGUGGUUCUGGGGAUAGAAAUAGGUGGAUAUAUGUGGAUGGUACUUCCGGAGUAGAAGUAGCAUGUGUGAGUGAACGUGCAAGUGAAUCUUGAUUUAACCACAUGACAAGCUCCUAAGGGUCUACACAGCUUGACCACACUCAAUGCUCAUAAGCAGUAAAAAGUAAAUGUGUGGCUCAAAGUCUAGCAAGCAUGUAUAUCUGGCUGUGGUAGGAAUUUAAACUCUCAUCAUACAGGAACUCAUCAUGUAACAUUUUGAAGAUUUUCAAAGAUAAAAUUCUCCAGAAUUCUAGCAUCUCUAGGAACAGAUAAACAGCAGCUCAACCUUCCCAUAUCAUAUCCGUUAACGACUUAGACUUUAGAUCAAGUACUCUUCCCACAAGUUCAGGUUUAGAGCAAAUUAAUAACAGCCAGGCCUAAACUUGAGAGAGAGAUUUCAAUUUUGAGAACUAGUCAUGGCAGAGCAACUAUUCAUCAUUUCCAUGUGAGAGCUUAUCAUGAGGGUUCAUAGCAAACUUUAUUUAUUUAUCUAUUUAGCAAACUAAGCAAAGAUAUAUAUAUAUAUAUAUAUAUAUAUAUAUAUAUAUAUAUAUAUAUAUAUAUAUAUAUAUAUAUAUAUAUAAGCAUAUUAGAGUAAAGUAUAAACGUGCGUAGAAUACUUAGCUGGAUAAAUGGAGGCGCUCUCCCCCAAGCUGGAUUUUGACGCAAUUUCUUCUGAUGUAGCUAGCAGGUGCUGGAGGUGUAUUUGAAUGUCGGCAGCACUCUAACAACGAUUAGGAUAUCCUCCGUCUGCUAGACUUCUUUGAUCCUUGAAUUCUGUGGAGCUCAAAUAGACAACAAAGCUUUGUGGAACUAGUUAAGUGUUAGCAUAAAUAUUUAGCCUUUAUCAUGUUGAGUCUCCUCAAUAAAUAUUACUCUCUUUAGUAGGAUCAUAAAUUUAUUUUUAUAUUUUUAUUUUUAUAGGACAGGAAUAUAUUUAUUUUAUUUUUAUGCCACCACAGUGAAUGUACUUAUGGAUUUUAUGCCAUGAGCAUACUCACAUGGGGCUUACUAUUUUUAACAUUUUUAUUUUCUUUUCAAGAUGAUAUAAACCUGAUUAACUAAGCAAACUAUUUUAAAAUAAUUAAAAGGAAAAGAUAACUACCAAGUUUACCUCUUGGCAAGACGUUCGGUGUUUUUAAGUCCUCCGAACGGGACUCUCCAUUUUCUCAGUUGUCCUGGGAUUCGCUGGAUGGCGUAGUCGGUGGUUUCGGUGAAGCCUGGUCUUCAUGUAUAACUAUCUUCUCUCUCCACACCUGACUCAGUGCUACGGUCUCCUCAGGACAGUUCUGAUCAAGCUGUAUGUCUUCAGACCUUACUACUUCUCCUUCGUAGUCUGCUCAUCCGUCCUUGAUGAUUUGCCUCUUCUGGUUGCGGUUGCGUCGUCUUCUUCUUGUCCUGACCUGCUUAGAGUCUUCAACUAUAUAGUUAUGGUCAGUAAAAUAGCGGCGUACCUUCUCAGAGGGGAAGUUCAUGUGGACUUCUCCGGUUCCAAUGUAGAUGAUUGCUUUAACGGUGCUGAGGAACGGUCUUCCAAGGAUGAUGGGUGGAUUGUACUCGUCUUCUCCCAUGACAAUAACCUUACGGAAUGUCUGAUCUGCCAUCUGGAGCUGAAUGUAUAUCGGUUGUAGGGGCAUGGUUCCAUGCAGGAGCUGAUAAGUGACUGCGGCCAUUAUAUUGACGUCAGAUCCGGUGUCGUAGAGUGUCUUCUGAAAAAAUAUCUGUUGAUUGUGCACUCGAUGCUUGGAACACCAGGGUCAUCCUUCUUGAUCAAGAAAGGCGACUUGAGUUGACGAUCUUGACCUCCUUGAGCAGCAGUGACCAUCUUAGCUGACUCAGUCCACAAUUGCUUGUUCCUGUUCCUCCUGUUGGUCCUUUCCUUGGUUCAUGUCAGGAUUGCUCUGAGAUUGGUGUAGUUUUGUUCUUGAAGGAAAACGUCUCCUUCGUCCCCUUGAUGUAGAAACUGAUCUUGGCAGCACUAGCGUGGAUGACUGCUCCCGAGGUGUUCAGGAAUGGCCUCCCUAGAAUGAUGGGUGCCCUGUCAUCAGUACCAGUCUCUAUCACCAUGAAGUGUGCUGGAGCGUACAAGGUACCAACACGGACGCAGAGGUUCUUCAAUAUUCCCUUUGGGAAACUUAGCGUCCGAUCUGCAAGCUGCAAACACAUGGUUGUUUCCAAUAAAGGAUAUGUAAAGAUUUUUUUCAUAGAGUACCCUAGGCAUAAUGUUGACGCUGGAGCCAAAGUCGCAGAGUGCUUCUAGAAAGUCCACCAUGCUGAUGGAGAUCGGGAUGACGGGGCGUCCUGGAUUGUCUCUCUUGACUGGCAGAAGGUCAGUAAUUACUUCCACAAUGGGGUUACUCCAGUAGUUGUUUCCUCAAGCAUCUCAGGGCAGUGAUUGCCUGAGUGUCCAGUAUCUCCAGUGUGUUUGUGCUCGUAGAUCUAGGUUCUUCACUUGGUAGAGUCUGGGAGUUGUAAAAGUCCUUCAUAUUUUGCUCCAAGUGUACCUGCUCAUGGAGACAAGGCAGAGAUCAAGUGCAUGGGCCCUGUUGGUGGAAAACACCAACAGAACCAAAAGUGUAUUUGUUCUCUCUAACCUUAAGCAUAGUGAGCAAGACAAAGUUGAUGGAUAAUAAGACCAUGAGUGUAACAUUUAAAACAUUUGUCAGAUCAGAUCACUCAACCUUAUGGAAAGAUAAUCUAUCUAAGUAAAUGUUUUUUUUCUUUACAUGACUAUCAUUUUCCAAAGAUUGAGUGUGCAACAUUUUAGCUCAUAUGAUUAGGAUUGUGGGAUCACAAAGGUGGAAAGACUAAAAAUGUUGAAUCGAUUGGGUUGAUUAAUCUAAAGUUUUAAAUCAUACAUGUUUGUCUGUUUAUUCAUGUGAACGCUAGAACCAAGGAGAAACUUAUAAAAGUGAUAGUCAAGUACCUUAAGAUGUUACCUUACUCGAAGAGUGAUGGUACAGUAUCACCUUGUGGAAGCUUUCCUUUCUUAGCGGUUGUGCAUCAUGUUUGUGGCACCCUCCAUAGAUCAUCUCUUGUGAGCUAUGCCUUCCUUGUGUAAAUUGUUAAACUUCAUGUGCCUCUCUCUUUAUGUCCAAUGUGAGUUUGUCUCAGGACUUCCCAGGUCGAUAUUGAAAGUUUUCUUGCAGGGGUUAGUCCAACAAAAUAUCCAAUAUCUACUAUAGCAUACUAUCGGCUCAAAGAUCAACCUAGACACCAUGUCUAAUUUGAUUUAGGAGGGAAUUUUAACCUAAGCAUCAUGCUUAAUUUAAAAUCCUUUGGAAGUAAGAUCAUCAUUCCUAAACUAAGCACCAUGCUUAAUUAAGAGAUAAAUGAAUCUACUCCAAACCUAGACAUAUACUAAAGCAAAUAAAGGUAGCAUGAAAGCAUUUAUAGAGAUCUACUCAAGUGGAGAUGAAGUAGUGUGAUUAGUAUUUAACAAAUUGAGCAUGUCUCAAAGGUAGGGACAACCAACAUAGCAACAUGGAAAAGGAUGUUUUUAUGUAAAGUACUCUCCCAAGCUUGAAUUUUGCAAAAUUCAAGUUUGGAUGAAUUUAAUUCAAUGUUAUAUGAUGAUUGGUUGUACAUACCUUGUGCUUGUCAUUCAUCCGAUCUUCUUGCUACAAUCCUGGAAAGGUUAGUGACAAGAAUACCCGAAGGAAUUUUUUACAAUUAUACUUAUAUGCUCAAAACACAAGGUAAUGUUGCAAAUAAUUAAAAGCUCAUGUUACGAUCUGAUCAGUGCUUAUUUUAGAACACUAAGCUUGUCCUUGGGAAACCAUCAAUUUAUGUCGGCGAAGUGGUUUUCCCUCCAACGCUGACCUAUAUCAAGAUCAACUCAACGAGAUCUGCAAUAUUUCUUAUAGACAUAUGCAUCGACAACCGCCCUUUUAAAGUUUUUAUAGAUAGAAAGGAUGAGGGGGUUGGAGAUCUCGAAUGUGGUGAUGUUGGAGAGACCAAUGGAUUGUGAAGAUGUUGCAUAUGAGCAUGGAGUAAAUGAAGUGACUAUGAAAUAAAUUCCAUGCUCAUUAAUGCUUAGAGUGAAAUCCAUGUGGUAUGGUGAAAAUGAUAAGGUGAGUGUGGUGAAAAAGAAAAAGAAAAAGGAUACACAGACGACUUGGUUCGAAACUAGCACAGCUACCGUUCCCCGGCAACGGCGCCAGAAAGCUUGUUGGGUAUUUUAAACGCAAACAGAAAUCCGCAAGCGCACGGAUACCGAUGUAGCUUUCACCCGGGAGUAUUCCAGAGUAUCGAUUUUCCACAGAGAACGUGAGUGUACUAAUUAAGAUCCAAGAUCGCCGAAGGAUAACUAUAUAAUUAUUUUUGGUGAGAAGAGAGGAAGUUUCCUGAGAGUUCUCUAGUUGAUCUAAGAAUCGAGAAUUACUUCAAGAUUAUCUAUAUCGGGACAUCAGAGCACUAACCACAGAAAGAGAUGAGAAGGGGGCUAGGAAGGUCUGACUACGGUCCUACAAACACCGAUCCGAACGUGGUGGAAUACGUCGACCGUUAGGGCUGUCACUACCCUAAGGCUACCACAACAAUCUGCAGGAUUGGGUGCAAUUCCAGGUAAUUGCAAGACUAAACACCACGUCUAAUCUAUUAAUUACUACUCUAGCGUUAUAAAGACUAGAGCACUUGAUGCAAGCGGGAAUCCAAUAAAUAACUUGAAUGUAAAUAAAAGUAAUUAGAGAACUCAGGAAUUAUGAAUUAAAGAACCUAGAGAACGAUGAAGAACGAACCAGAUGCUGCAAAAGUAUAAUGUUGACGAAGAUCCGACAGAUCCGGCUCCUCCUCCGCUCUCCUCUUCUCUCUCCCUAUUUUCUAGAUUACAACUAGAACUAACUAGAACUAGAACUAGAACUAGAGGAACUAGAACUAGAACUAGAUGAACUAGAACUAGAUCUAGAUGAACUAGAGGUAGAACUAGAAGAACUAGAGGGAUCCUCUCUACUUGGAUGAAGAAUUGAAACCCUAGCUUUGAUUCUGUAGAAGAGGUAUGAUCUCCAGGGGCCAGGGGGGUCUGGUUUUAUAGUCCCUUCAAGUGAAUCUGGGCCGUCGGAUCAAACCGACAUUGAUCGUGUGGUUUUCCUUGAAGUAUUAGGUCGGUGGAGUGUUGUCCCCGAAUUGGACUCUGUUUGGUCCAGGGGGGAGGGCGGGCGCCCAGUAAGGGAGGGCGGGCGCCCAGUGCCCGGCUCCGUUACGUCUCCCGUUCGUUCCCGUGGCUUCUGGAGUCUUCUAGAUGGUAGAAAAUUGCGCGGCACGUUAAUAUCUCUAUGUAAACCCGACGUGUGGGCCUUUCUUCCUUAUUUCCUGAUAACCCCCUGCAGAAAUAGACAAACACCAAAACUCAUGGAAUUCUGUCAGAUAAAACCCUAAGUCUAGGUGUUGGUUCCAUUUAGAUCCUUUUCCAUGAUUAGUUGAUGGUUAAAUGUGAGCAUUAAGGACCGUCAACAUAGCACUUAGCUUGAGAUGCCUGCUUAUUUUAAAGCUAAAAUGUAACAUAAUAUCGUAUGGAGGCAAAGUUUAUAUCAAAGUUAUAGAGCCCGAAGAGAUAUACAACUUCUUAGUUGAUGAAAUUUUCAUUUGAAAUUAUUUGAGGUCCAUAAAAUAUGUUUUGAAUUAUUAGAACUUUAAACUUUAAAUUUUUUGAAUCUUUCAAAUGACCUCAGAUAGAGAUACAACCUAAACCAAAGUUAUAGUACUCGAUGAGAUAUAAAACUUUAUAAUUCAAACUUUUUUCAUUUGAAACCAUUUAGGUUCUCAAAUAUUCAUUAAAAGAUCCACUAAAGUGAAAACAAAAAGAAAGAAACAUUCACUUAGUCACAAAAGACUUCGUGGUGUAGUGGUAAGUUAGUUUCACAUGGAACAUCAAGUCAUGAGUUUGAUUCUCAACUACAACAAAUAUGAGAUUGUUUUUCUUUUUUUCCAUGUAUAUCCUUGAGGGUCAUCGGCACUCAAGAAAACAUCUAUCAUUGGGUGUUUUUACAUUUUCUUGGGUGCCAUCGGCACUCAAGGAAACCUAUAUCCUGGGGUGUUUUUAUAUUUUUUUGAGUGUCAUUGGCACUUAAGGAAACCUAUAUCCUUGGGUGUCGUUACAUUUUCUUGACGAUGUUAAAAAUCUGACCACUGAUUUAUUCUUUUGACGGUUUAACCCUCAAGGAAUUGAUUUGUGGCGGCCGACACUCAAGAAAAUAGUAUUUUCUUGUCUCUCUACCCUUGGCGGCCAUUCCUUGAGUGCUAGCCGCCAAUAUUGAUUUUCUUGGCGGUUUUAGGGGUUUCCUUGAGGGUUUUUGACCCUCAAGGGUAUUCAGUUUUGUGGUAGUGGUGUGCCCAGAAGUCCACACAUAUAACAAAAGAAUAGAAAUAUCAGAAAUAAUGUUAUAUAUAGCGGAAAACAUAUUUAUAAUAACACUUACAAACAUCAGAGUACGCGGAAACAGUAGCUAAACUUCUUAGGCUCCAUUCUUCUCAGGGACGGUUGACUGGGGGCUCCGUACGCCAAGCACUUCUCAUAAGCUUCUAGAAAACUCCAUGACAUCUUUAUCCUUCUUCUGAGCAGCACUUUACUACACACUGGGGGUGUGGGGGGGGGGGAAAUAGCAAGGGUGAGUUCAUGUCGAACUCAGCAAGCACAGAUGGAAAGUAAUGACAUGCAAGGCUUAAAACAAGGUAAAGCUGACUUGGUUUGACUGCGGUAGCAUUUUAGUUGAUCACUUUUAAUUAUGACUAUUAUUAGAACAACCUACUACUAAUUAUGACUAAUUAUGAGUAGCAUAAACCCAACCCUUAAUUAGGGUAAGUAGUAAUUAGCAUCUUUUAAAUGACUAUCCUAAUAAUUAUAGUAGUCCACGGAUUAACCCCAAAUAUUAACAUAGGAUAGCAAUCCUGCCAACACGGAAUAGCCAUUCCGCCAAAACACGAGGUAGCAACCUCGCCAAGUUCCAUCUCCAAGUAACCAGUGAAUCCAAUUUGCUCAUCAAGUGAGGGUCUGGGCCACUCGUGACCAUGAGCACGGCUGAUAUAUCAGUUUUACACUCCGUAGAGGUGUGCACGUUCACUCCAAGUCGUGAUUCCCAUUUGCCCGGGGUCAUGACUCCCCCAAAACACUGCCAAGGUGAGCAGGCAGGGUCUCACUACGAGACCUUUCACAGGGUCCAACUAAGAGGAUGCCACUCGCAAGUUUUCGCCGGGGCGCUAGACAGUCGAUACCCAUAGCCAUGGCGUACCAAGCAGCCACUAACUUAAUAUUCAUUACCCAAGUUACUUCCUCACGCCUACCCAGAAAGUAACACCCUACUAGUGGAGGUCCUGCUAAUUAGUCAAGCCAGAGCCAUAUAGCUUAGAGCUGCACUGUAUGUCCGAGGGGGCCGCUCCCGGACUAUGUCCUUACGGAGAGUAGAGACGGGUACGCCCGGCAAACCGGACCACCAACUGUACCCGCUCCCCCUGUCACCACCAUCAUCACGAUGCUCGUAAGCAUCCAACAUCGCCAUCACCGCAGUGACCAAAGGUUCAGCACAGUUAAGCAUCAUGUUAAGUAGAGAGUAAUUCUUGUUUAAGCAUGUGUAUAAGAUGAGUAGAGCAGCUAAGCAAACCUAGUAUAGCCUAGACUACCCAUAUACAUAACCCCAGGUGAACAAGGAAUAGUAAGUAAAGUUAGUCAUGUCCUUAGGGUUUGCAUUCAUUGGACACAUGCAUGUAAAGUAAAUGACAUUAAUGAGUAGGUUCAAAAUGAUCAAACGGUGUCUGCACUUGCCUUAAUUCCCAGUGUAUAUCUGCUCAGAAUUCUUUAGCUUCUUUCUUCUGAUCUCGAACUUCUGCUUUGACUAUCGGUCCUCAGCUCCUGGUCUUCACUGUUGACGAACCACACUUCUUCUACGCGUAGCAACCAAGCAACACAAACAGACAAACAAACAUGACUAAGAACAGACAUCAAUCAAAAGAAAAGCUUAGAAAGAGCGCACUAAACGACAUGACUUAUUGCUACGAUCGUGACAACGCAAGAACGGUUGAGAACGGAGCUAUCGUUAAACAGACACGACUUUUGAGGUUCGGAGUGUAACGGAGAAGACGACUAUACGCUGUCGUAUUUUAUUUAAUAAAAGAAGGUGAUAGACUUAUUGACCAAAUUAGAAAGAAUUAUAAAAGCUGGAGUUAAACUUUAGUCAUAACCUAAUUACGAACCAUUCUACAUCACUUAAGUCACUUUACUAUUUAUAAUUAGAAAACAAGGAAUUUGUGACAAGUUAAUCAGAGCAUUUAUGAAAUAAGAUUAGAUUAAGUAGAUCACAACUAAAAAGGCAUUUAAGUUGGCAUACUAAUACGUAUUUUAUGAAAAAGAUCAGAGAUUUAUUAACCUCUAAGUUGCUUUUGAUUUCAACGAUUAUUGAAUAAACAUUUACAAAAUAACAUUUAUGAUGAAAUCUAAAGGUAUCAAACAUGGUGAACAUUGCUACUAAUACGUGGUUUACGUCGAUACGAACCUAACGCGAUAAGAACGGGCUCAAUCGGAGUUAAAACACGCAUUCUAUGGCCAAAACUAGAUCGGUGGCAAAACUGUGAAUAAACAGAACUAUUUUUCGUAUUUUCAAUAAUUAAAAACUGAAUUUUAAAAGCAUAAAGGACUAAAUAAAUAAAUACUAACGGCGCUAGGGUCCUAAGUGUUAAAAACAGGACCUAGAUUUAAUUAAAUUUGAAAAGCUGCGGACUGCGGGUUAAUUACUAAAAUCUACAGGGGGCUUUGUGCAAAACGGCCAGGGCCAGUGUGGGUGGCCGGCUUGACUGGCCACGUGGCGCUGCGGCACUGGUCGAGUCCACGGGGGCGGUGUGGACCGAGGCAGGACGGUGCCGGUCCACCGGUCCAUGGUGGACCGAGGCUGGGCGGGUCGGGAGCGCGCUGCGUGGCUCGGCCAGGCCGCGGCGGCGCGCCAUGGCCGCGGCAGCGGGGCUCGUCGCGGUGGCGCUGUAGAGCGUGGGGAGCCUCGCCGAGGGCAUGGGCGAGACGCGCGGGGCGCGGCGAGUGCGUUGCGCGGGUCGGUCGCGCGGUAGAGGGGCCAGGGCGAGCGCGCGUGGCGGCGGGGUUUGGCCGUGGCGGUGGCGUGCUUCGGCGAGCGUGUGCAAGCACGUGAGAGCGAGAAAUAGGGUGGGGUAGGUGCUGGGGCUUCCUCACCUUGCUGCGAAGGUUGUUCGGGGGUCCUUGCCGACGGAACGGACGUGGUCGCAUAGAUCAACGACGAAGGAUACCUCCACUCGACAGCAGCUCGCGGCUAGGGCUAGGGAGAUGGCGGCGGCGCUGUCCUAGGGUUCGAAGGAGGGGAGCGGGUUGCAGUCAAAGGCCUUUAUAGGUUGUGGUGAACCUCGGGGUGCGUGCACAGGGAGAUCGGGCGGCGGCGGCAGCUCCCGCGCGAUGCGGAUGGAGGUUGGGGAUGACCUCCCCGUUGACGCGUGGGGCCGGGGCAUCAGCGGCUCGGGCGUGGGCUGGCAGGUGGGGCCCGCCUGGCAGUGGGAAAGCGCGGGCGCAGGGGCAGGUGGAGCUGGGGCGCGGGGCUGGGCUCGCCUGCUGCUGCGAUGCUGGGCCGGCUGUAGCAAAGGGCUAGGUCAAAAAGCUAAAGCGGGCUAAAAAGAGAAAGGAAAAAAAGACUUUUCUUUUUAUUUUGAAAGGGUUAAAUCAAAUUUGUCAACACCUUUAUAAACCAAAAUUUAAUUUCUUAAUUUAAGAUUAUUUUUAGAGCUUAUUUUCUUCACUACUUUUGAAACAAGACACAUUUUCCUAAGAUCAUAUUUUUAAAUCAUUUUUCAACUCAAAACGAAUUUAGUUUUCGAAUAGGACUUUUAGUGUUUUAUUUUUCCAAAAACCGAAAGGACCUAAACGUAGCUCGUUAUAAAUUUUAAAAUUUAUUUUUCUCACACAAGAUAAACAAAGCUAGGACACAAAGCACACAACAACAAAUAAAAACACCCUUCACUUAUCUUUAUAAAAGUUUUAAAAUUCUACAUUUUUCUCAUUUCAUAAUAACAAUAAUUAAUAAAAAUCUCGUAAUGUUUUAGAAACAUUUUAAAUCCUUCAUUUAAUUUAGUGUUUUCUAAUAACAAUCCAAAAUUAAAAAUUUUGGAGUGUUAUAUCUAAUUAUGAACUAACUAGACUCAAAAGAUUCGUCUCGUAAAUUACAAGCAAACUAUGUAAUUAGUUAUUAUUUUUAUCUAUAUUUAGGCCUUUUUUAGUUACAACAUUUUUGGCAAAAUGGACAUUGUACUACUUUCAUUUGUAUUUGACAAAAUAUUAACCAAUCAUGGAGUAACUAGACUCAAAAGAUUUGUCUCGUAAAUUACAGAUAAAUUGUGCAAUUAGUUAUUUUUUAUCUAUAUCUAAUGCUCCAUGCUUGUACCAUAAGAUUUGAUGUGACGAAGAGUCUAAAAAAUUUUGCAAAACAUUUUGAAAACUAAACAAGGCCUUAAUGUUCAAUGCAUGUGCCGCAAGAUUCAAUGUGACGGAGAAUUAAAAAAUUUUACAAUUUUUUUUUGGGAAACUAAGGUCUUGUUUAGUUUAAUUUUUUUUUAAAAAAAAUGAGCACCAUAGCAUUUUUGUUUGUAUUUGACAAAUAUUGUCCAAUCUUUGACUAACUAGGUUUAAAAGAUUCGUCUUGCAAAUUAUAGGUAUAUAUUUAGUUAUUUUUUUAUCUAUAUUUAAUACUCUAUGCAUGUGUCAUAAGAUUCGAUGUGGCGUGGAAUCUAAAAAUUUUGCAAAAUUAAUAUAUUGAUAUUAAUAAUAUAUGUUCGUAUCAGGAUCCAUUUGCAUCCCUAGUCGGUCACUCUAUUUUCGCGCACGCUUUUGUUUUAUUAAAUUAAUUAAACCAGCAAGCUCAUGGCUAUCAGCCGUAGUAGUGGAUAUAUAUUCUAUAUCCAAAAAGAUCAAGACGGAGCUGCCGUAUCAUAGCUAGCUAAUAAACAUCUCGCUAAUGAGCCUAAUAUAAUGUCAACAUCGUGGGUUUGUGAAGUCCGCCCAAGCACUUCAUCACGAUGCAGUACUAGUUACCGUAUAGCCUCACAUUUGUCCAACUACGCAGUGGGCCCAGGCCAACCCCCGCUGCAAAAGACCCAGAUACUACUUCCAGAAAGAUCUAGCGAACCCAGUGCAACGAGAGGCCCUGCGACGACGUCACGUGCCAAUCUGACGUGGCCCCUAAUCAAACCAUCCAAUUGUGUGUGCCACGUCCAGCGUGUCGCAUUCCACGACACGGCACCUGCUGACGUGCCGGUUCCCCGCCGGUCGUACAAUUUCCGAUGCCCAACCGUCGGCACCUGUCCCAACGGUCCGGUGCAGUGGGCCCAGUGGCCCACACCAACCACGGCCCCCACUUCCAUGUGCGAGAUAUUUUUCCGGGGCGGGGGCCUUUCCCUUUCCCUGUAGCUGUAGGUGGCCGACGCUGGGUGUCGGCAAAGAUGGGAGCAGACACGGUUCUUCCACGUGCUGGGCCGGCCGGUACAUACGGAUCGUUUUUUUUAAGAGAUUUAAAAAGUUUUUAGAUUUUGGUACUAUAUCACUUUCAGUUUUAUUUGAUAAAUAUUGUCUAGUUAUGAUGUAACUAGAUUUAAAAGAUUCGUCUCAUGAUUUACAGACAAACUGUGCAAUUAGUUUUUGUUUUUAUAUAUAUUUAAUACUCCAUGCAUUUGUCGCAAGAUUUAAUGUGACAAAAAAUCUUGAAUUUUUUUUUUGUUUUUAAGGUGAACUAAACAAGGCCUAAAUAGCUCGUCUUUGGUUAUAAUCAACAGACCGAGGCCUCAAACAUAUGCCUUAUUUAGUUGUACUUAAAGUUUUUCAAGAUUCUUAUUUUAUCAAAUCUUACGAUAUAUACAUUGAGCAUUAAAUAUAGAUAAAAAAUAAUUAAUUACAUAAUUUGUUUGUAAUUUACGAGAUAAUUUUUUUGAGCCUAGUUAAUCUAUGAUUGGACAAUAAUUAUCAAAUACAAAUAAAAGUGCUAUAGUGUCUGAUCCGAUUCCACUUCAUAUCCGUACAAGCUGUGGCAUCUGAAAAAAAAAAUCCGCAUUCGCAUCCAAAUCCGUACAUUAUCGGUCCGAUCUGAAUUAACAAAAAAAAAUAGAUUAGGAUACAGAAAAGCAUUAUCCACACUCCGAUUCGAUCCGUUUUCAUCCCUACCGAUAACAAAUAGUAUAUAUAACUAAUUAGUUAGUAUAAUUAAAAGAACAAUUUAUAAAUAGAUUUCAUAUUGUCUCAAAAAAAAAACUUAUGGGAGAAGUGUUUUGUAACAGCUAACGUUAACACGUGCAAUUUACUCCGGUUUCAUCUCAUCUGAUAUAGGGGACGUCGGAUGUACGGCAGGCUACAUAUUCCUAAACACCGCAAAUGCAAAAUAGGCUAAUAAUCACGUCACCUACACUACACCCAGCAUCAGCUUACAGCUUUCGAUAAGGGCCUUGUUUAGUUCAAAAAAUAAUCUUUAAACGCAUGUAUGGAAUAUUAAGGUCCUGUUUGGUUCCACCAACUAAAUUUUAGCUAGCUAAAAUUAUUUUAGCUACUCUUGAGUGACUAAUAGAACUAAACUAUUUUAGCCCCUUUUAGUCAAUGUGUUUGGAACUUUAGCUACUAAAGUGACUAAAGUUUAGCUAGCUAAAAUUUAGUUGGUGGAACCAAACAGGCCCUAAAUAUAGACGAAAAUAAAAACUAAUUGCACAGUUUGGUCGGAAUUGACGAGACGAAUCUUUUGAGCCUAGUUAGUUCAUGAUUGAAUAAUAUUUAUCACGUACAAACGAAAAUGCUACUAUUCUUAUUUUGUAAAAAAAAUUUAGAACUAAACAAAGCCAAGUGCAUGCACAUUGCACCCGUAUCGUCGGUAUGCCGGCGCCGGCGCCGGCUUGGGCAUGGGAGCAAUUAAGCGUCCUCCUGAUGACGUGGUGAGUUGCCAUACGUCCCUCCGUUGCCGGCCCUGCAAUGCAAUGCCGACUGCAUGCAUGGCCUAGCUGGCUGGGCGGCCACAUGCUUGCACGCGAGCCAUCGGAUGAGGAUGGACGGACGGCAUGGUGAACAUAAUCGUGCAUGGAGUAAAAGACGAGUAAGGCGCGUUGACUACUGACCCACUUCGUUCCAACAACCACCAAUUAAAAGGUGGGGAUGUCGUUGUUGUGCACAAAUAAGCAGGGCAAAUUUUUACACCUAUUUAAUUACUAUCUUAAUAGGGUUUCUUUCGAGAAAUAAUUAUGAUCAGCAAUUUUUAUCCAAUCAUAGACUAACUACACUCAAAAGAUUUAUUUUGCAAAUUAUAAACAAACUGUAUAAUUAGUUAUUUUUAUUUAUAUUUAAUGUUCUAUGCAUACGUCUAAAGAUUUAAUGUGAUGAGAAAUCUUUUUAUGAACUAAACAAGGCCUAAGUCUGUCGCCCGAUUACGUCAUAUACCCAAAAUUGUCAGUAGAUAGGUAGAUUCACGCUCACAUCACAUGUAACAGGCCAUGCUCAAAGUCCAUGUCCGUUGUGCGUGAUGGGCGUGUACGCGUGGUGCUAGCGUUUCCCCUGCCCGCUGCCCGCCGACGCUGGCAUUUGAAUCUGACUGGUUAGCUAGCCAGAGGUAAUGAAUGAAGACCUUGAACAACCUGUUCCUUUGACUUGUUAUGAGAAAAAAUUAUUAAAUAAUCUUACAGCGAUAGAUAAGUUCAAGCGAAUAGGCAGAGCAGAAUAGGCACAGCAGAAGAGGUUGUCUUUCUCACCCAUGAUUGAAGCCUAUUCGCUUGAACUUAUCUACCGAAUUUACCAGUCGUUCAACAGUAUUUUUCUCUUACAAUAAAUCAUCGAACAGUACUUUCAGAGGAUCAUUACUACAAUGCUCUAGCUCGGUAGAUGAUACUACCACAACUGGAAAGCCGAAAUUCCCUGACGGUGUCAUUACCGUCAGGGAAAAAUAAAACACCCUCAGGAAAUUUUAAAAAUAAUUUCUCCGACGGUGAACCGUCAUGGAAUAACCAUCAGGGCUGGCUCGAUAGGGAAAAGACUAUUUCUUGACGGUGUACCAUCACGGAAAUACAAUUUUGAUUUCCUAACGGUGAAAAACUCACAGGGAAAUUGUAAAAACUGUCAGAAAAAUUAUUUUUUGUCUGACGGUAGACACCGUAUAAAAAAAAGUGGAUUACCAACAAAGAAAUCUAUUUCCUUGGCGGUGGAAAUUCGACAGGCUAUAUGAUCAUUUACCUUGACGGUCCCAGGUGGUGUCUGUUUUCCCUAUCGAUUUCUUACCAUCAAGAAAUAAUGUUUUCCCUCUGUAGCUGAAAUUUCCGAGUCGAAAGGGGACCAUCAGGGCAAUUCUUUUCCCUGUCUGUGUAAAACCACCAAGGAAAAAACUAGCAUAACAUUUUCUAUAUUGUGUAAAACAAAUUUAUUUAAUAUAAUAUACACAGAACCAUGGAUACAUAUACCAAGAUAAAUACAAUACACCAUCAUAUAUAUAGAUUAGUCUAGCAUAAAUCCAUUACAUACAUAGAUGUCUUGUUUGCAUCAACAUUGAUAAAUACAUGAGAUGUCCAAAUAUUUAGCACCCAUCUACCCAAAAUAACUUCUGCAAACAUUUGGCAUCAACAUAACUCCCUUCCACCACCGAUCUAGUACUAGCCCCACAACCACACACCACUAGUACUGACCUAAGUGUAUGCAGAGGCAAACACUUCAAAAGAGUAAGAGCUAAAGGUUAGUACUAGCUCAACAUCCACACCACUAAGAACUAGGUGAAGGUUAGUACCAAACCAAAGUGUAUGCAGAGGUAAACACGUCAAAAGAACAUGCUACACAACCAUUCAGUCUUCAGUGAGAUGAGCACCAUCAGCAGCACCUGCACAUGUGGCUUCAUUAUGAUAGUUUCUGCUUUCCAAUGCAACUCUACUUCCACCAUGGAGUCCCUCAUUUGCUGCAACAUUGUCGUUAGUCGAUUCGGAAGCCACAUGAGAUGAUCCAGUCACCGGCUGCAUGUGAAUAAGUAAAAGAUUAUUAGUCACUAGGUUGCACGCGUUUCAGUCAAUAUACACAGUAUAGGGCUAAAACACAUGUUCAGCUAAAAAUAAAAGAUGUUCUCAGCUAAGAAUGUUCAACUAAGAAUGUCCAGCUAAGAUGUCCAUAGCUACAAAAGAAUCAACAUGAGGCCACUUCCUCACUGUUGCACUAGGUACUGCAAUGCUGAAUACCAUAAAGCUCUAGUGUGAACCAUAGGAGCCAAAUGCCUAAAUUGUAUGUCAUACAAUGGAGAGUAAAAUUCCCAUCACUUUUAUUAUUUCCACAUAUUAUUUACAGAUAAUAUUUUUUAUAAAAUGCCUAAAACCCUCUUUUGCUCAAGGUUCACACCAUGCGUUAUGUUUGCAGCAUAUGCAUUAGGAAACUUUAAAUCUUGAAUCCACUUGAGAAUGGUUGGCUUGUCAUCUUUACUGAUACAGAAUGGACCUCUUGGCCUAUCCCACUUCCCAUUAUUUCUUUGCACCAAAUGGAGCGAAGGACGAUUACAAAUUAGAGCUAAAUCUAGCCUAGCCUUCACAUUAUCUUUGGUCUUAUCUCCUAUAUCGAAGCAUGUGUUCCAUAUGGCUUUGGCCAUAUUCUUUUCAUUGUGCAUCACAUCAAUAUUGUGAGGUAGAAGAAGCUUUUGGAAAUAUGGAAGUUGCCUAAAGCAAAGUGCAUGUGUCCAAUUAUGCAAUUUUCCAUAGGUAUCUGAAUCACCUACAAAUCUAUCCGAAUGGCGUUGCAUUUCCUCUCCUGCUAAGAUAAUAGGAGGCUCCUCAGAAACACUUGUGUUAUUACGGAAUGCGUUUGCUUGUUGUGUAAAUUCAUGAUCAAUAGGCAUGAACUUCCUGUGGCAAUCAAACUAGCAAGCCUUAUGACCAUUACGUAGUGUAAAACCAUUUGCACCCAUAUCCAUAUGGCCAUGACAAUCUACCAUGUGUGCUCCAUCCAACAAAGUCACCAUAUGCCAUGAAGUCAUGUACAGACCAAAGGUAGUCUGCCCUUAAUGUCGAUUCUUUCUUUACCGAAGCAUCCCAAGAAUUAACCCCUACCCAUAGGUCCUGAAGUUCAUCAACUAAGGACUGCAUUAGAAUGUUUAAUUUUUACCAGAGUGCUUUGGACCAGGAACAACAAGGGAGAGGAAAAUAUACUCCUGUCUUAAGAGUGUACCAAGCAGCAAGUUUAGUGGGGUCACAAAGACUGGCCAACAUGAAUAAGGAGCAGCAUUUAGAUUAAAUGGUGUGAAACCAUCGGUUGCUACAGCUAGUUGCACAUUUCUUCUAUCUGAUUCAAAGUCAGCGUUGUCUUUAUCAAAUUUCUGCCAAGCUUCUCUAUCACAAGGGUGCACCAUUUUUCCAUUCGUUGAGGGACUAGGUGCAUACAUUAGUUUGGCUAUUUUGGGGUGUAGAAACAACCUUUGCAGCCUAUCUUUGAUGGGAAGAUAAUGCAAAACUUUGCGUGGAAUUUUCUUCCCACCAUCCUCGUAUCGAUUGGCUUUACAAAAAUCACAUUCCUCUUUAUUCUCAUUAUCUCUGUAUAAAAGCAUGCAAUUGUUGUAGAAAACAUCAAUUUUCACAUAUGGCAUACCAAGACCCUCUAAUAGUUUCUUUGAUUGGUAGAAGUUGUUAGGUAGCUUAGAAUCUGAAGGAAGAAGUUCAUGGACAAUAUCUAAGAUGUCAUCAUAUUCUACAAUAGGCAUGUAUCAUGACUUUGGUUUUCUCGUGCACCAACUCAUGUGCACUAGCUACCAUCCUAUAGAAAGCUUUAGCAUAUGGUGUUGGAUCAUCUACUACAGGUGGAUGGGCCCUAGCUAGAUCAAUUAGCAUUUCAUCCAUAUGGUCGGUCUCAUCAAAACCCUCUCUAUUUGCUGCAUGCAUUGUCAAAUUCAGUAUGACUAACAGUCCCCUCUCCAUGUUUUGUAGCAUUCCUUAAAACCAUGCUUACACAGGUGCAAUUCUACGGUUAUUCUUGGGUGUCAAAAAUAAUUCCGGCACUUGGCACAUGGACACUUGAUGGUACCAUUUUGAGCUACACCUGGAAAUGCAAAUACAUGAACUCAGUGCUUUCAUUAAUCUAUGCAUUAGAAAAGUUACCACGCUGCAAAUAGAGAGGGUUUAUGAUAUUACAGUGUAAGACUCUAUUACAGAGUCUAUUACAGAGUCCGAGACACUUAAUUACAUAUUAUUUAUGAUAUUUUGCUGAUGUGGCAACAUAUUUAUUGAAGAAAGAGGUACUCCCUCCGUCCACGAAAAAAUCAAUUCCUAGGAUCCGUGCUUUAUAGAAAAGAAUAACAACAUCUAUAAUAUAAAAUGCACAUUAUAUAAAAAUAUAUUCUAUGAUGAAUCUAAUGAUACUAAUUUGAUACCAUAAAUCUUAGCAUUUUUUUGUAGAAAUUUGGUCAAAGUUUAAAAAGUUUGACUUAGGACAACUCUAGAAAUUGGCUCUUUCGUGGACGGAGGGAGUAGAAAAAAUAAGACUUCAAGUCUUAGUAUUUAGACUCCAAAUCCAAAUUGUUCGAGGUAAUAAAUAAUUUUAGACUUUAUGAUAGAAUCUGCAUUGUGGGUGCCCUGAUAAGACCUACCCUAUGAACCAACGACAACAAACCACAGGUAUUAAUAAAGGGAUUAGAAGAGGUGGUCAAACGACGACACUGCUUAUUAAGUACGGCCGCAGCAGCUGGCCGUAGAUGACCGGUCUCGUUCGGUUCGUCACCUGCAGGGCCAAGAUGUCUGGACCAGACCCUUUCGUUUCUACGACUCCGUUUCUAGCAACGGGAGACUGGACUGCUACAUGCAAUACUCCCAGUCACGUAUGUAGGGCUGGACUGGACUUUCGUCCAUGACUCGCAUCAUACACACUUGUAACCAGUCAGAUAUCAUGGACGACGCGGAGUACAGUCGCAAACCAAGCUUCUGACUUGUGAUAUAGAGAGACGCACGCCUUGUUUAAUUCUAGGGUAUAAAGUUUUGGUGUCACAUUUGUCAUAAGAUGUUCAAAUAUUAAUAAAAAAAUAAACUACAUAAUCUGUUAGUAAAUCACGAGACAAGUUUAUUAAUUUAAUUAAUCUGUUAUUAGCACAUGUGUUCUUGUAACACUUUAUUGUCAAAUUAUGAACUAAUUAGGUUUAAAAAAUUCAUCUCGCAAAGAGUCCGUAAUCUGUAUAAUCAAUUAUAUUUUUAGUUUAUAUUUAAUACUUUAUGCAUGUGUAGAAACAUUAAGGGGGAGGAGAAACUAAACAAGACAUAUUUCUUUCAGGCCUUGUUCAGAUGGUGAAAAAUUUUGGUUUUAGCUAUUGUAACACUUUCGUUUGUAUUUUGUAAUUAUUAUCCAAUCAUGAACUAACUAGGCUUAAAAGAUUUAUCUUGCAAAUUACAGACAAACUAUAUAAUUAGUUAUUUUUUAAAUCUAUAUUUAAUGUUUCAUGCAUGAGUUCAAAGAUUUGAUGUGAUAGGAAAUCUUAAAUUUUUUUUGAAACUGAACAAAGCCUGAGUAUGCAACUGGAAAAAAAUAUAAAGAAAGAUGCGUAUCCAUGAAUGCUUGUUUUGGGACAAAUUAAAGGGUGUAACCAUCUCUUUUGUUUUUAUGGUGAGAUGAGCCAUUGGAUCCUGAUCAAAGUACUCAUUAAAGAGAACCUUCAAUUGUCAAUUUUUAAUAACAAUUCACAAACGACCUUCGCUGUCUUUUCUAGGUGACAGUGACAUGACACCCAUCACCUGUUCGUCGUGUUGUGCAAUAGUGCAGCAAUAGCAACGCCGGUUGAGUUAUCUAUCUAUUCAUUUAUUUACUAUUUAGCAGAGCAGAGCCGCUUGAACUUUUUUGUCCACCUUCUUCUCUUCUGGUCCCUGCUCACGGCCCAUCUGCUAUUACACAUUUCAGCCCGUUAGCGUCAAUCAAGCUCUUCCAUGUUUUAAAGUGGGCCGGGUUUUGCUAUGCUCAUGCGGGCUUCUUUUUUUAGACAAGGAGAUGACAAUAUACCUCCAGAACUCCAAAAUUUGUGACUGAAUGAGUAUAACCAUUCACACAAAUACACAAUACUUAUACAAUACUUCACCAAUUGGAGAACUAGGAAAAGGACUUAAGCCUUCAUUCUAUAUAGAGAAGUACUGAUGAGGACAUCCCAAUUAUACACGCUCGUUCAAGUUCAAAUGCUACAAAUCAAGGUCCACUUACAAGAAGCCGUGCUAAGAAGCUACAAGAGCAGGUGAAUUCUUUCCUUACUGAUUGUAAUUUUCACACUUCUAAGAAUGUUAUACUACCUAAGUGCUCUACUAUGGUUGUACUUAGGAAUAUAUUUGAAGAGGAGGAAAAGACAUUGCUACAGAAUAGCGAUAUCAGAAAAAUAACACGCAUGAAUAUUCGGACGUCCAAAAGUGAUCGCAUGAAUGUUCAGACAUCUGAAAGUGAUGUUCGGAUAUCGGAAAGAAGCAGUUAUAACUCUCAACUCCAUGAAACUUUGGAGGACUAUGAGGAUAUUUUGGAAAGUGUUGACACUUACUAACACCACUUGAAUACUAGGUUGUCAUCCCUAGCAUGGUACUAGAGUGUGCUAAGGUAUUUAUGAAUAUGAAGGCUUUUUAGAAAGUAAUAUAUUCUAUCCGCAAGCACAUAGAUAAAAUACCUCAUUGUAGCAUUUUACUAGGAAAAGUAUUCCGGGUAUUGUUAUUUAUAUUUUGCUUAAGAGAACGGUGAAAGUGAAAACAUGGGUAAAAUCUAUCAAGACAUAGACUAGAGAUAAACUUGCAAUAACAUGAUUACUAAUGAGAAACUCGUCACACAGUCACUUGCUUUGGUAGGGGGUAAGCCAUAAUAAUAAAGAUAAUACAAUAUAAGCUCAUGGGUAAAUAACACAGCGAUUAGAAAUAGACUACUCCAUAUAAACGUAAGGUGACGUCGGAUUAGCUAGAGAAUGGAUUUUAAGUAUCUACUAUCUACUAAGUCACAAUCUACUCUAGGCAUCUACAAGAUCAUAUAUAGCACAAAAGACUCUUCAUUCAGGUAUAAGGAACAUUGCUAAAGUAAAUCAGAAAAUAACAAGAUUUACUCUGCAAUACAAAUUCUGCCUGUCCUACUAACGGAGGGUGGACUAUAUAAGAAUCAACGAAGUUGUCACCAUCACGAACUACCACACGACCCGGCCAAUAGGAUACAUUUGCAGGUAAAUAAUAUCUAAGCACCACGCCCACAUGUGAUCUACCACUUAACUCCUGCGCAGAAAGAGCUAAGCGCUUUGCAAACUUAUACAUGAACUCAUUAUCAAUCAAAACUAUAUCAAAUAUAGAGCUAGAGCAGACUAAGAACAUAAUAAAUAGAGACAUAAUGUAAUUAGAAUAAAGUAGUAGAGAAAGAUAUGAAAUAAUACCAAUCUUUAUUGAUGAAGAUCCGAAAUCCAGAGCGCUAGGCUCUACUUCUCUAAUUCUAUCUAAUCAAUCCUAUAGAACUUGAAGGAAUUGGAAGUAGCUAAUUCUAAUUCUAUGUGGGAGAGAAGUUCCUAAAACCCUAACUUGGAUGGCUUCCUCUGAUAAUGAUUCUUCCUCCUCCCUGGGGUGGAGAGGCCUUGCUUAUAUAGUCCCCUCAAAUGAACGUGGGCCAUUGGAUCAAACCGACCUUAAUCGCACGGUUAUUUUUGAAGAUUAGAGGCAGUGGAGUGUUGGGUAUUCUUAACAUCACUACCAAAAGUAGACUUAGUUUUCUAAUUCUGAUAACGGUGCCAAAAAUGCCAAACCUAUCCCUCAUAUCACUUAAGCCAAGUUGUCAUCCCCAGCAUGACAUGAGAGACGCGGUAUUCAAAUAUGCAAUUGCUCAUCUAAAUAAAUAAUCAAAUAGGAUCUUCAAGUGCACAGAUUAAUACCGAUGUAGCAUUUUAACCGGGAAGUAUUCCAGGUAUCGUUAUUUAUAUUUUUACCACUGGGAAGGGAUUAGUAAUCAUCAAUGUUGAUUAUAGAAUGGAACAUAGAAUUGAGUAUCUAUCAUUGCAUGUAUAAUUGAGAACAUUUAUCUAACUCUUUCAUACAGGGGUAAGUGUCACAUAAAGGAUAUGUAUAAAGUAAUGAAUAGUGAUAAAGAUAAUUAAUCUGAUCAGCAUAACUUAGCCACAUAUAAAUAUGAUAAGCACCUCAAUUAGAUAUUCUAGCAAGUCAUUAGCAUGGAAUUAGGACGAACUACAAGAAUAUUUCCUAAGUUAUUCUUAACUAUACAAUCUAGCAUAUCAUAGUUAGUGCAAGUAUACUUAGCAAUCAUUGCGAGACAGGACUACGCCCAUGCAUAGUGAUAUUAUCAAGGAAUAUGAGAAACAUCGCAAUCACUCCCCUGUAAUAAUGUUGCUCUGCCAGCCCAAUACACGAGAGGGGGACUAUAUAAGAAUCAAUGGAGCUGUCACUACCACGAACUACCCCGCGAUUUGGCAUAUAGGGUACAAUCGCAGAUAAAUACGGUAUAAGCACCACGCCUACACAAUAUCUAUCAUUUAUCCAUGGAUCCGAUGGAUAAACGCUAUUGGGUAUUUUAAACGCAAACAGAAAAAUCCGUAAGCGCACGGAUACCGAUGUAGCUUUCACCCGGGAGUAUUCCAGAGUAUCGAUUUUCCACAGGGAACGUGAGUGUACUAAUUAAGAUUCAAGAUCGCCCAAGGAUAACUAUAUAAUUAUUUUUGGUGGGAAGAGAGGAAGUUUCCUGAGAGUUCUCUAGUUGAUCUAAGAAUCAAGAAUUACUUCAAAGAUUAUUUAUUUCGGGACAUCAGAACACUAACCGCAGAAAGAGAGGAGAAGGGGGCUAGGAAGCUCUGACUACGGUCCUACAAACACCGAUCCGAACGAGGUGGAAUACGUCGACCGUUAGGGCUGUCACUACCCUAGGGCUACCACAACAAUCCGCAGGAUUGGGUGCAAUUCCAGGUAAUUGCAAGACUAAACACCACGUCUAAUCUAUUAAUUACUACUCUAGCGUUUUAAAGACUAGAGCACUUGAUGCAAGCAGGAAUCUAAUAAAUAACUUGAAUGUAAAUAAAAGUAAUUAAAGAACUCAGGAAUUAUGAAUUGAAGAACUUGGAGAACGAUGAAAAACAAACCAGUUGCUGUAAAAGUAUAAUGUUGAGGAAGAUCCGACAGAUCCGGCUCCUCCUCCGCUGUCCUCUUCUCUCUCCCUAUUUUCUAGAUUACAACUAGAACUAACUAGAACUAGAGGAACUAGAACUAGAACUAGAUGAACUAGAGGGAUCCUCUCUACUUGGAUGAAGAAUUAAAACCCUAGCUUUGAUUCUAUAGAAGAGCUAUGCCUCCAGGGGCCAGGGGGCUUGCUUAUAUAGUCUUUUCAGAUGAAUCUGGGCCGUCGGAUCAAACCGACAUUGAUUGAACGGUUAUCCUUGAUCCUUUAGGUCGGUGGAGCGUGAUCCGCGAAACGGGUCCGAAUUGGACACUAUAGGAGGGCGGGCGCCCUGGGCCAGGCCCCGUUCGGCCUCCGCUUCGUUCCCGUGGCUUCUAGAGUCUUCUAGAUGAUAGAAAAUUGCGCGGCACGUUAAUAUCUCUAUGUAAACCCGACGUGUGGGCCUUUCUUCCAUAUUUCCUGAUAACCCCCUGCAGAAAUAGACAAACACCAAAACUCGUGGAAUUCUGUCAGAUAAAACCCUAAGUCUGGUUGUUGGUUGCAUAUAAGUCCUUUUCCAUGAUUAGUUGACGGUUAAAUGUGAGCAUUAAGGACCGUCAACAAGCUCCCCCAAGCUUAACCUUUGCUCGUCCCUGAGCAAAGAUGGACUCAAGAGUUUCUGUAGUGGUUUCAUGCCUUAAAGGUACACAUGCGUUCAAACAAGAUCUCAUCUCUGGGUUAGGGUAAACUGUUAAGAUUUAAACUUACUCACUUUUCCUUCUACCAUGGGGCUUGCAACCGUCACUUAUGUCUUGAGCAGUUAAAAGAUAGAACGGUCUAUUCAAGCGCCAUGUCUCUUGUUCUUUGAUUAACUAUAGCUCUGGAGUUUUUUUUGCAGAAUUUCAAAUAAAACUCAGAGAUUCCUUGUAUGACUCUCUCUAGUCUCUCUUUUGUGGUAUUUCUGGAUCCUUACCAAGGCAGUAAGGGUAUCUGCAUUCUCUUAAAGUAUGUAGUAUUUUUGGUAUGAGGCAUAGUGGCAUUGCCUUCUCUCUCACCCUACUCUAAUAAGGUUUUGAUAUCUGGAGCUCAUAGGUGGGAGACAGCUAAUACAUACUUACAAGACAUUUAUUGCAUAGUUAAACCAUGGAUCUAGAGGAACAAGUCAAUAAGUUAAAUCAAGAUGUGCAUGUGUGGCGAAUGAAUGGUGUAUGGUGAUGAUGGUGAUAACAAUGGUGAAAGUCUAAUUCUACUUGUGCUCUUUUGAGGGAUCCAUACCUUUCUUGCUCUUUUGAAACUUUUUGAGGAGAAUGAGAUGCUCUAUAUUUUCUUUUUUUCUCUCAGGUGGGUAUCUUGUACCCCUAAUUCUACUGUCGGACACUUGUCUAUUUUUACCUCUCGUCUCACUUUUUCUUUUCUUUUGAGGUUCCGGGCACUUGCCCCUUUUUAUUUCCUCGUAUUCGCCUCUUUUUUUCAGAGCACUCACCCUCCUAGAAUAAUGUAGCAAGUGGUAGUAACUAAAAUAUCUCGAGCAUUUAUUUCACGGGGAAUAACAGGGAUAGGAUAAUGUUUUUGGCUAUUCUCUCCUAGAUAGGAGUAGAAUAAUUUUGGGUGAAUCUGGAAAUAGAAAUGAUUGGAUGUAUGUGGAUGCGUACUUCCAGAGUAGAAGCAGCAUGUAUGAGUGAACGUGCAAGUGAAUCUUGAUUUUAACCACAUGACAAGCUCCUAAGGGUCUACAUAGCUUGACCACACUCAAUGCUCAUAAGCAGUAAAAAGUAAAUGUAUGGUUCAUAGUCUAAUAAGCAUGUAUAUAUGGCUGUGGUAGGAUUUUAAACUCUCAUCAUACAGGAACUCAUCAUGCAACAUUUUAAAGAUUUUCAAAGAUAAAAUUCUCUAGAAUUCUAGCAUCUCUAGGAACAGAUAAACAACAGCUCAACCUUCCCAUAUCGUAUCCAUUAACGACUUAAACUUUAGAUCAAGUACUCUCCCCACAAGUUCAGGUUUAGAGCAAAUCUUAAUUCAUAACAGUCAAGCCUAAACUUGAGAGAGAUUUCAAUUUUGAGAACUAGUCAUGGCAGAGCAACUAUUCAUCAUUUCCAUGUGAGAGCUUAUCAUGAGGGUUCAUAGCAAACUUUAUUUAUUUAUUUAUUUAGCAAACUAAGCAAAGAUAUAUAUAUAUAUAAGCAAAAAAUCUUUAUUUAGGUUUUUAUGAUUAUACAUCUUUUUAUUAUUUGAGUAAAGUAUAAAUGUGAGUAGAACACUUAGCUGGAUAAAUGGGGGUGCUCUCCCCCAAGCUGGAUUUUGACGUAAUUUCUUCUGAUGUAGCUAGCAAGUGGUGGAGGUGUAUUUGAAUGUCGGCAGCACCCUCACAGCGAUUAGGAUGUCCUUCGUCUGCUAGUCUUCUUUGAUCCUUGAAUUCUGUGGAGCUCAAAUAGACAACAAAGCUUUGUGAAACUAGUUAAGUGUUAGCAUAAAUAUCUAGCCUUUAUCAUGUUGAGCCUCCUCAAUAAAUAUUACACUCUUUGAUAGGAUCAUAAAUUUAUUUUUAUAUUUUCAUUUUUAUAGGACACGAAUAUAUUUAUUUUAUUCUUAUGCCACCACAGUGAAUGUACUUAUGAGUUUUAUGCCAUGAGCAUACUCACAUGGGGCUGACUAUUUUUAGAAUUUUUAUUUUCUUUUCAAGAUGAUAUAAACCUGAUUAACUAAGCAAACUAUUUUAAAUAAUUGAAAGGAAAAAGAUAACUACCAAGUUUACCUCUUGGCAAGGCGUUCAGUGUUUUUAAGUCCUCCGAACUGUGAGGGUAUAAACCCCUAUACCCUUACGGCUAGACUUGGGCCAGGAGGCUUGGCCCAUUACGAGACAAGUUUGAAGCUUGAUCCAACAGCUUGGAGUUUUACGCAAGGGAACAAGACGUGGUGAUCAAGCAAGAUUCUAGUCGGUUAGAAUAGGAAUUGAUACCGAACUAUUUAUGGCAAUUGUAACCGACUAGGAUUAGUUGUCAGAUCUGUAACCCUGCCCUCCGGACUAUAUAAGGAGAGGCAAGGGACCCCCCUAGGAUAUAUUAUUCUCUCAACACAAUCCAAUACAACAAGACGCAGGACGUAGGUAUUACGCCAACUCGGCGGCCGAACUUGGAUAAAAAGCUUGUCCGUGUCUUGCGUCACCAUCGAGUUCGUAGUUUGCGCACCGUCUACCGAUAAACUACUACCGUGGGUAUACCCCAAGGUAGAUUGCCGACUAGCUUUCAUCGACAGUGGCGCGCCAGGUAGGGGGUGUGCGUGCAACUUGUCUGGCGAACAAGAUGGUCACAAUCCCAGUUUCCGCGGCCGUGCCUGAAGGCCUCACGUUCACCGUCGCUCAGAUCACGUGGACGACGCGCGGCGGUGGUCUCACGACCACGGUUCCGGAAGAAACUCAGAUCCAAUCUGGGAUCACGAUGGCUCCGACCACUCCGGUGACAGCACCGAGCGCCCGACCCUCGCUCCCGCUCUACAAGGGAAAGAAGAUCGACUGCUCGGACCUUCUCCAAGCACUUGAUCGCGCCGAUUCCAGGCUACUUGAAGCUUCCCGACUAGUAGAUGGAACCUUGCGCCAGCCCGAUCAAGCCGCCCCAACCGAUUUUUUCAAAUCCCACCGGCCAACUCGUGUCGCUACACACGAACGGCUGGGAACGUCUCUGACGAUAACCUCAACUCCCUCAGGGCGAUCCAUCAAGCUCAAGGCUAACCCAGAGGAAGAUUAUCCAUGCGGCCUGUACAACUCGGCCUCUCUCUACUCACGGCACGUCCAAUCCCUUUUUAACAAGGAGGGUUGGUUGCCAAAGAGGAACGAUCGACCUGCUCGCCACUACGUCAACAUGGUGACAAUCCGAGAACUACGGGAUGGCCAGGUCACCAGCACAAAUUCGAGCACCGGUAUCGUCCCCACCGAAGUCAUAAACUCCGAAGACGAGGACUACGACCUGGAUUUGCCUUCACAUCCUCCAGGUUUCUCCCGUUUCCCGGUAUUUCCCCCCGGCGAGGAGACAUUGUUUUCAACGUCAGCGCCGACGAGCCGGUCGUUGAUGGAGAAACGGAUGAGCAGAGGCAGCUCCGCGAGCAGCGUAACGCCGAUCGCGCCCGAAGACGCGCAGAUGAGGAACGACAAAUUCCGCCGCAUAAUCUCAGCGACGCUUUUGACAUGGUUGGGGACCAGCCAGUCUACAAAACGCCAAGCGCCAACGUGGCUGUCGCCAUGGCUAAUCUAGAUCGGCUCCCUGAUACCCCCGAGUGCCAGGGGGUCCGAACCAGUGUCCGGGCGCACCUGAUCGCCGCGAUGGGACAGACAGCCACCCUUCUCAAGAGAGUCCAGGCCGUCUCUUAUACAGAAGCCACCUCCGACCAGACUCAUCAUAGCCGGACCUCAUCGCAGCUCAGCAGGCAUCACCGCAGCCGUUCCCCCGACAACCAUCGAAAAGAUUCACGGCGUGACGAUGGCGGUCGGGAUGCUGACGGUCACCGCGAGCAGAAUCGCAGGCGCGGUCAAGAAGUAAACCAGCACAGGGAUCUUCGAUAUAACAUCCCUCCCAAAGAUGCCCGGGACCGCAUCAACAAGCGCGCCACGGAGAGAGCAGUCCACGAAAACCUGUGCCGUAUCGAGUACGAUGCAACGCACGGCCCCCGGGCCUGAGACAGUUCUCCUCACACCUCCGCCAGGUCGUGUGGCCCCGCAAUUUCAAGCUCGAGAAACUUAAAAAAUACGACGGCAAGUUAAAUCCAGAGAACUGGAUCACUCUCUAUGAAAUCGCCGUCCGAUCAGCAGCGGGAGAUGAGCACGUCAUGGCCAACUACUUCCCAGUGGUCCUCGACCAGGCUGGUCAUCAGUGGCUUCUUGGCUUGCCCAAGGACUCCUUCGACUCUUGGGAAGAGCUACGCCAGGCUUUUAUCGACAACUUCAUCGCCACAUGCGAGCAGCCUGGAAACAAGUAUGACCUCGAAAGGAUAAGGGACAGGAAAAAUGAACCUCUGCGCGAUUACAUCCGACGAUUCUCGGAUAUGCGCCUUAAGAUCCUGAAGAUUUCCCACGACGAGGCCAUCUCUGCCUUCAUCAAGGGCCUGCGUUUCCAUGAAGCACUGAGGAGCAAGCUGUUGUGCAAAAGGCCAACAACGAUGGCUGAGCUCCUCGCCACGGCUAAAAAUUACGCCGAUGCCGACGACGCAGAGAAACUAAUUCGGGACGAUGCGAGAGGUCCCGACCAGCCUCCCCGGCGAGAUGACGGUCGCGGUCGUUUCGACAAUAGGAGCCACCGCCGCCCCGACAACCGUGAUCACAGAGAAGGUUGGGAUCGGCGGCGCGACAAUCGCGACGAUUUCAGAGGAAAGCGCCCCCGCGACCAUGACCACGAAGUGAAUACGGUCAAGCGUCCCAACGGGCGGCGGGACUACCAAGAAGACUACAACAAAACGUUGAAGGGACCGUGCCAACUGCAUCCAAAGUCUAAUCAUACCAUGGAAGAGUGCCGCGUCCUCAAAAACAUCUAUACGCGGCGGGCCGCCCAAGACGACUCCGCCAAGAAAAAUGGUAAGCGAGACGGGCACGACCACGAAGACGAGGACGAGGACCAAGAUAGGGACCCUCGACACCAAUAUGUCAGCCCCACUGACGUGGUCCACUCCAUCUUCGGGGGCAAGGUCUCCAUCGAAUCUAAGCGAGAAAGAAAGCUAUUAAAGAGAGCCUGCCUCAACAUAGACAGCACGGACGGACUGAGGCGCAGACCCGAAAUUUCCCCCGUGGUCGCACAGGGAGAAGUGGGCCGCUAUCCCAGAGCCAGGUCAUUUCCCUCUAAUCCUGGACCCUUGCAUCAACAGCAUCAGAUUCGAGCGCGUGCUCGUGGACGGAGGAAGUUUCAUUGACAUCCUCUUCCGCAACAGCCUGCCCGCUCUCAAGAUAUCUCCGGCACAACUAAAACCCUACGAUGCUCAAUUCUGGGGAGUUUUGCCAGGUCAGAGUUCAGUGCCCCUCGGACAGAUAACAUUGCCUGUCCAAUUUGGCACGCCCGACCACUUUCGGACAGAGUUCGUCAACUUCGUGGUCGCCGACUUCGACGGGACCUACCACGCCAUACUGGGCCGACCAUCGCUGACAAAGUUCAUGGUAGUCCCGCACUACUCAUACCUGGUCCUUAAAAUGCCUACAGAGAAGGGUGUCCUAACUGUCAGAGGCAAUGUCUACACCGCAUAUACUUGCGAAGAGGAAAGCUUCAAGAUCACCGAGGCAAUCGACCUCUCAAUUCGCAUGGCAGAAACAGCAACCCAAGCCGCGCAGCUGCCUCCCGACCAGCUCCGAUUACCCGAGCAGGAAACCGCCAGGAAGAACUCAAAAUCCAAGGAGCACAAAGAAGUACAACUGGUCGACGGCAGCCCCGAGAAGACGGCCCUCAUCAGGGCCAAUCUGGACCCCCAAUAGGAAGACGCGCUCGUCAGGUUUCUAAGGGACAACGUGAGCAUUUUCGCAUGGAAACCCGCAGACAUGCCCGGCGUCCCACGAAACCUGAUCGAGCACUCCUUAAACGUCUCGAAGACCGCAAGACCAAUCAAGCAAAAGCUGCGACGGUUCGCUCCUGACAAAAAGGAGGCUAUUAGGAUAGAAAUAACACAGCUUCUAGCAGCCGGAUUCAUAAAAGAAGUGUAUCACCCCGAUUGGCUCGUCAAUCCGGUUCUUGUACGCAAAAAGAAUAAUGAAUGGAGAAUGUGCGUUGAUUACACUGAUCUCAAUAAACACUGUCCUAAAGAUCCUUUCGGUCUCCCUCGCAUCGACGAGGUGGUCGACUCAACGGCCGGAUGCGAACUCCUCUCUUUUCUAGAUUGCUACUCUGGUUAUCACCAGAUCUCGCUAAAGGAAGAUGAUCAGAUAAAAACAUCUUUCAUUACUCCUUUCGGCGCAUAUUGCUACACGACCAUGUCAUUCGGACUCAAAAAUGCCGGAGCCACUUAUCAACGGGCCAUACAGCAAUGCCUCCACGACGAGAUUCGUGACGACCUCGUCGAGGCCUAUGUAGAUGACGUCGUCAUCAAAACAAGGGAUGCAAGCACCCUAAUCGACAACUUAGACCGAACCUUUAAGGCGCUUAAUAGGUACAAGUGGAAGCUUAACCCCAAAAAGUGCAUCUUCGGUGUUCCUUCUGGUCUACUGCUCGGCAACGUUGUCAGUCGCGACGGCAUACGACCAAAUCCUUCAAAAGUAAAAGCAAUACUCGACAUGCGACCACCUAAAAAUGUCAAGGAUAGUCAGAAGCUCACCGGAUGUAUGGCCGCUCUCAGCCGCUUCAUCUCAAGACUAGGAGAAAAAGGUCUCCCUUUCUUCAAACUCUUGAAAGCGUCGGAAAAAAUUUCUUGGACUGAGGAAGCCGACGCCGCAUUCACCCAACUUAAGACUUUCCUCACUUCACCGCCUGUUCUUACAGCGCCCCAGCCCAAUGAAGACCUACUCCUUUACAUUGCUGCAAUCGACAGUGUUGUUUCCACGGCAAUAGUGGUUGAGCGAGAUGAGCCAGAUCAUGUCUACAAGGUCCAGAGACCCGUUUACUUCAUAAGCGAAGUCCUAAACGAGUCCAAGGCCAGGUAUCCACAAAUACAGAAGCUCAUAUACGCCAUUCUAAUAACGUCAAGAAAGCUGAAGCACUACUUCGACGGCCAUCGAGUCCUGGUGACCACCAGUUUCCCUCUUGGGGACAUUCUGCGCAAUAAAGACGCCAACGGCAGAAUCGUAAAAUGGGCGAUGGAGUUAUGCCCAUUUUCCCUAGAAUUCCAGAGCUGCACCACAGUUAAGUCUCAGGCCCUGGUCGAUUUCAUUGCUGAAUGGUCGGAUCUCAACGAGCCUCCCGUUCCCGACGUCUCCGACCACUGGUCAAUGUUCUUUGACGGGUCCUUGAACAUCAACGGCGCCAGCGCUGGGAUACUGUUCGUGUCGCCUAACAAGGACAAACUGCGUUACGUCCUUAGGAUCCUUUUUCCGGCAUCAAACAAUGUCGCCGAAUACGAAGCAUGCCUGCACGGCAUAAGGCUAGCCGUUGAGCUGGGAGUCAAACGCCUCUAUGUCUGUGGCGACUCUGCUUUAGUUAUCAACCAGCUCAACAAGGAGUGGGACGCAACCCACGAGAAGAUGGAUCUCUACUGCAAAGAAAUUCGCAAAUGGGAAACCAACUUCUACGGCAUAGAGUACAUCCAUGUGGUUCGGGACAAGAACCAGGCAGCAGAUGCGUUGUCAAAGUUAGGGUCGUCUCGGACCCAGAUCCCGCGGGGUAUUUUCGUCCAGGACAUCCAUGAGCCAAGUGUGGGCACAGGCCUGGUCGAAAAGCAACUUACUAAGGCAAUGCUCAUAGACGAUGCCACUCCAACAACCAGUAGCCGUGAUUGGCGCACCCCGUUCAUAAGAUAUAUAUCGGACGGGUCAGGCUUUCAGGAUAAAACAGAGAACGAGCGCCUCAUUCGACGAUCAAAGAAUUACAUACUGGUCGACGGCAAACUCAUGCGAAAAAAUGCAAGUUCUGAAGUACUGCUCAAAUGCAUAUCCCAAGACGAUGGCAUCAAGCUCCUAGAGGAUAUACACGCCGGAUCCUGCGGCAAUCAUGCUGCAUCUAGAACGCUGGUCGGGAAAGCCUUCCGAGCAGGUUUUUAUUGGCCAACCGCGGUCAACGACGCAGAAAAACUGGUCCGACACUGCGAGGGAUGUCAGUUCUUCGCUAAAAGGACCCACGUACCUGCUCAUGAGAUUCAAACCAUCCCGUCAUCCUGGCCCUUCGCCUGCUGGGGGCUCGACAUGAUCGGGCCAUUUAAGCCGGCCCCUGGCAACUUCAAGUUCGUUUUCGUGUUAAUCGACAAGUUCUCAAAGUGGAUUGAAUACAUGCCACUGGUCAAAGCAACCUCUGAGAAGGCUGUGGAGUUCCUUAAUCAAAUCAUACACAGAUUCGGGAUCCCAAACAAUAUAAUCACAGACCUGGGUACUCAGUUUACUGGCACCACAUUUUGGGACUUCUGCGAUGACAGGGGCAUAGUCAUAAAAUACGUGUCAGUAGCUCACCCACGGGCCAAUGGUCAAGUUGAGCGCGUGAACGGAAUGAUCAUUGACGCCCUGAAGAAAAGGUUGUACACCGAGAACGACAGGGCACCCGGUCGAUGGAUGAAAGAGUUACCGGCUGCGGUCUGGGGCCUCCGAACUCAGACUAGUCGGAACACGGGAGUGUCACCCUACUUCAUGGUUUAUGGCACCGAGGCAGUCCUGCCGUCUGACAUAACCUUCGAUUCUCCUAGGAUUGAAAACUUCGACCAGUCAACAGCCGACAACGCCAGAGAGCUCGAAAUCAACUGCAUGGAGGAAAAGCGUUUAAAUUCUUGUCUCCGAACAGCAAAGUAUCUUGCGGCAGUCAGGCGGUACCAUAACAGGAACGUCAAGGACCGUUCCUUCGUGGUCGGCGAUCUGGUACUUAGGUGGAAAACAAGCCAAGAGGGAAUGCACAAGCUGUCCACCCCCUGGGAAGGACCCUUCGUGGUCACCGAAGUCACACGACCCACAUCCUAUAGAUUGGCAUACCCAGACAGAACACGCGUGCCUAACUCUUGGCACAUAGAAAAACUGCGCCGAUUUUAUCCAUAAGUUCUAGUAACUUUCGCUUGUAAAUAUCUUAUAGCUGUCAAUAAUAAAAGUUCUUCUUUUUGCCUAUACUUUGUUACACGCAGAACUCGGAAAGUCUUGCGCGAUCGGAGCUCUUAGCGACUACGAAAUCAAAUACAGUGGCACGUCACUCAGAUAAUUGUACAGCGCUCAAAAUAACAGUCAUGACAAAAGCAAACUUUAUUACAAACUUUACAUACAAAAUUUACAAUAAAUACCCUGACGGGCGGACACUAGUCUACUCCUACAGACUAUCCUAAUGGCCUACUGCUCGGGCUGAUCACCCGCCUGGCCUUGCUGCCCGGACGAAGGGGUCGGGGCCACCGGCGCCUGGCUGGUCGAGACCGCAGGCGUCGACCGCCCAUCUCCCGCAACAGACGCGCCCGACAGCUCCCUGGCCGACCUGUCUGAACCCGGCUGGUCGGGGGGAGUGGCCGUUCCGCAUAGAUUGAUGUCGCCGAUCACCAUCGACGACAAGUCCAGCAGACCACCCCGAAGCUCGUCCGCAUCCUGCGGGCCGACCUCCUUGGGAUACCCCUUCUCCAGCCUGGUCAAGUCAACCAGGGGGUAGUGGGCGCGCACCAUGCUAAGGACAUGCGCGCCAGCAAACUCUCCAGCAUCCUUCACGAAUUGUUGGAGCCAGUCCCACGCCCGUUGCGCCUUUUCAACUGGCGUUAAUCUCGGCGCGCGGGGCUGGCUCUCCGGGAGCUCGGGACUGAUCAAGUCCAGGACCGGGGCCACUCCUUUCCAAAUCCUGCAGUAGUUGACCUUCCAGGAGUCCCGAUCCUUGACCAGUUCCUCCAUGUGCUUCUUGGUGUUCGCCUUGAGCACUGCAAAUCAAGGAAGAUGUUAACCUCGGCGUAUCAAACAGAGUGGUAAGAGGCAAAUAAUGGGGGCAGCGCGUGAUACCAGACAACUCCCGGUCCCUUUGGCCCAGCUCCUCCCCUGCUCGGCGACCGGCCUCCAGCGCCCCAGCUAGCUCUCGACCGAGCUGCUCCUUCUCCUGUCGGAGGCGCGCCACCUCCUCCUCCAAGCCUACGUGAACCAUAACCUGGUCAGUAAAGCAAACUACGCAGCUACACACAGCUGCUCGAAGCAUCUAACUGACCUGACCGCUGCCGAUACUGGUCGGCCAAGCGACGAGUGAGCUCGAGACGACGCUCCUCCUGGGCGUUCAUCUCGGCCACCUUCUCCCCGACCUCCGACCGCAGCCGGUCCACCUCCGCGGUCAGGGCCUUGUUCUCGGCUACAUUCCUUCUAUCUGGUCGAAGCACCUCUUCCGGUACUUCGCCGUUUUCAUGGCGCCCUGCAAGAAGGUUGCAUGUCGACCCAGAAAGAUAAUAAAAAAAGGGAGUCGAGCAGUGCAAAGAAUCACUUACCUUGACCUCAUCUACAAGACGUUUGGCCGCACGCUCCACCCUCGCGGCCUCCUCCGUCUCCGCGAGCUCUUCAUGUCCAAUAAAGUGGUCCCCGCGUUGGCGCCACACGUAGAUGUGCUGGCGGCCAUCACGGGGACGCCCCUGGACCUCCUCCACGUCGUCAUCAGAGGCCUCUCGGGGCUCCUCGUUCGCCGCACUGCCUCCGGCUGCGGUCGAAGGCAUCACUGGCCCCCGGCCUAGGCCAGGGGAGCUCACGGGUGAAGAAGCCCCUGCUCGGGGCGGUGUCGGGACCCUCCCUUCUUCGGCUGGAGGAGUUGGGAUUCGGCCUUCCUCUUCAGCAGCAGCGCUCGGGGGAGGGGUCCUUGAAGCCUCCUCGUUCCUCGGUGGAGUACUCGCCGCAGCACUCGCCCAGGCACACUGCCCCUCAGCGCCUGUAGCAGCAGCCGCCGCCGUAGGCUGACCUGUGGCCUGCGGCGCGGCGUCGACGGCGGCAGGCUCGGGCGCCCCCUGGCCGGCGGCGUGGUCGGGGUUGACAUCCGACGCCGCGCUAAAAAAACAAAGCACUUUCUUAAUAAAAAAAAAUCGCCAAAAUACGUAAGUCGAACACUUACAGGUCUGAUCGACGGUGGGUCGCGGUGAACCUCCUCCUUGCCCGGCCGGUCGGCACCUGUGCCCCCGUCUCCGUGACGCGAGGCGCAGGAGGGUCGCUGGCCACCCGAUCAGCAGUGGUUGGCACGCUGUCCGGACGGCCAUGAGGCCUUCGGACCAGCGACGGUGUGGCCUCCUCCUCCUCCUCGUCGUCGUCGGUAAUCCGAACGAACCGACGACGCUUUGGCGCUUGGCUGCUCUCUGCCGGCAGCGUCGGCGCCGGCGACGGAUCCGCCGCCAUUGGCCUUUUCCCCGCCACUCUAUCCUCGGUGGUCGGGACGGGGCGGGCCUGGUCCUCCUCACUGCUGGUGUAAUGAGUACACCGAGCAGCGUCUUCCUCUGACGGAUCUUCUCCCGUAGGAUUCUCCAUUCCAGGUGCCAGUGAUACGUACACUGUGCACCGGUCAACAUCUCUGAUCUGCAAAAGUAACAAAGAUAAGUCAGCAGCAGACAAUAUACGGAUGCUAAAGCGAAAUAAUCAGUGACAUACCUUAGGUGCCGGUCGCCCCAACUUGAAGGCUUGCACCCGAUCACUACCACGGACGAAGCCUCCGUCCACGAAGUUGAACAGCUCGUUCAACAGCUGCUGUACCUCCGCCUUCUCCAAGACCUCAGGUCGCAUCCUGGUCGGGUCCAUGCUUCCGGCAUACUCGUACGCCGAGUGCACCCUCUUCUGGCAGGGCAUCACCCGACGGCACACAAAGUUGCCGACCACGCCUAGCCCGUCCAGGCGCGACCAGUCGAUCAGCUUCAUCAGGUCUGCCACUUGACCGUCGAACUUCAGGCGAUCGGUCCAGCUCACCCUCUUCUUGGGGAUGUACCCCACGUCACAGAACGUUUAGCUGCCCGGUUCCUCCCUGAUGUAGAACCACUUCCUGUACCAUUCGGUCAGGGAAGUGUUCCAUGGACAGUGCAGAUAGCGGUUCUUCGUCCCGUCGCGAUGGUUGAGGUAUACUCCACCUGCAACCUUGGAGCCUCCAACUGCUCCCUUCUUUCUUAAACAAAAAAGAUAGCGAAAGAGAUCGAAGUGCGGUUCUAUGGCAACAUAGGCCUCGCACAAAUGAAUAAAAGUAGAAAUAAGAAGGAUUGAGUUCGGGUGCAGAUUGCAAAUCCCGAUCUCAUAAUACAAAAGAAGACCCUGAAGAAAAGGAUGAACAGGCACCCCAAAACCCCUCUUAAGGAAAUCCUCGAACACGACGAUCUCACCGGCGUGGGGGUCGGGGUAGCUCUCCCCCUCCGGUGCCCUCCAGCCACCGAGCUCUGGGCUGUGCAGUAGCCCCAUAUCGACGAGGUCACCGAGGGACUUUGCGGUGCUGCGGGAUUUCUUCCAUUCCUUGGCCAUCAGCUCGGCCCUCUUCUUCGAGUCGCUCUUCGCCAUUGGAGGUGCGGAAGUGGAUUCGAGUUUGGAAGGUGCAGGCGAUUGAAGGAGGCAAGAGCGGAAGGCUUGAAGGCAAUGGCAGGGUAAGCAGUACAGGGGAAACUGUCGAGCUCUUAUAAACCACAACUUCACCCCUCCCACUUCCCGCAUUCUCGGGAAGUGGGCGGGCCAUACGGCGGAUACGGUGUUUCGGUUUUCAAUGAUUAUCGACAAUUAAUGCGGCGGAGUUUUCGUACAAAUUGAUGGUUUCCUUUUCUCAAACCGCGCAAAGGGCGGCCGUACAGUUGCCAGGCGCAACUUUUCAUGCAUCCAUCUGACAUCCCGUCAGGAGGUCUCGUCACGUCAACUUUUUUCUGGAAAUUUUUUUUCAAAACAAGCAGACAGAAAUGGCAGAGAGUCAACAAUCCGGGGACUGCACCGACCACCGAGCACUUGAUGCUCGGGGACUGGUCGCCCAGUCUAUUAACUCGGAACUUCAACGACUGCACCGACCACCGAGCACUCGAUGCUCGGGAACUGGUCGUCCAGUGUAGCAACUCAGAACUUCAAGGAGCGCACUGACCAACGAGCACUUGGUGCUCGGGGACUGGUCGUCAGAUUUGUUGAGACUGCUCUGACCACCGAGCGCUUGAUGCUCGGGGACUGGUCGCUUAAUUUAUUGGUUUGGAAAUCAGCAAGCUGAACUGUUCGCCGACCAUUGUACACCCAGGGACUAGUUGACCAGCUCGGCGAAUUGCAAGCUCUAUGGUCAAUGAGCAUGAGAUGCUCGGGGACUGGAUAAUUUUGGUUUUUUUUAGACCUUGCUACAAGUUUCAUACUUCGCCUUCCAGCAACCUCGGGGACUACAUCGGUACGAUGCAUCUAGCGAUGCAUCUCACAUUCAAAGCAGCUUUGGAGAUUCUUCAUUGGACCCUGGCACCACGUGACUACGUCACCUGCUACCAGGCUCGGGGACUAAGUGGGCACACUUCACCUUGCGGUGAACUUGCUUGUCUUUUUGAUGGACUGUACUUUUCAGGAAAGUAAAGUGGGCACACUUCACCAAAAAAGGAAUAUUUUUUCUCAAGAGCACCAUGCAUUCUUCGAACAAUUGGCUUCUUCGAUGAUGAAGUUAAUUGGAUGCAUUUAAAUUUAUUCAAACUGUUGUCGCAACUAUUUGGGCAAUUUUCAUAAUGAUUGAAGAUAUUAAGUUUCAUUGGUCGAAGAAGCUCAAGACGGCGUGUUACUUCACAAUACAUGGUGCUCGGGGACUAGCUGUGGGGGUAUAAACCCCUAUACCCUUACGGCUAGACUUGGGCCAGGAGGCUUGGCCCAUUACGAGACAAGUUCGAAGCUUGAUCCGACAGCUUGGAGUUUCACGCAAGGGAACAAGACGUGGAGAUCAAGCAACAUUCUAGUCGGUUAGAAUAGGAAUUGAUACCGAACUAUCUAUGGCAAUUGUAACCGACUAGGAUUAGUUGUCAGAUCUGUAACCCUGCCCUCCGGACUAUAUAAGGAGAGGCAAGGGACCCCCCUAGGACCUAUUAUUCUCUCAACACAAUCCAUACAACAAGACGCAGGACGUAGGUAUUACGCCAACUCGGCGGCUGAACCUGGAUAAAAAGCUUGUCCGUGUCUUGCGUCACCAUCGAGUUUGUAGUUUGCGCACCGUCUACCGAUAAACUACUACCGUGGGUAUACCCCAAGGUAGACUGCCGACUAGCUUUCGUCGACACGAACGGGACUCUCAGUUUUCUCAGUCGUCCUGGGAUUUGCUGGAUGGCGUAGUCGGUGGUUCCGGCGAUGCCUGCUCUUCUUGUAUAACUAUCUUCUCUCUACACACCUGACUCGGUGCUACGGUCUCCUCAGGACAGUUCUAUUCGAGUUGUAUGUCUUCAGACCUUACUACUUCUCCUUCGUAGUCUGCCCAUCCGUCCUUGAUGAUUUGCCUCCUCUGGUUGCCGUUACGUCGUCUUCUUCUUGUCCUCACCUUCAAUCUUUCAGAAUGUCUAAUCUGGCAUCUGGAGGCUGAAUGUAUGUCGGUUUUAGGGGCAUGGUUCCGAACAGGAGCUGAUAGGUGACUGGGUCGUCCUUUUUGGUCAGGAACGGUGACUUAAGUUGAUGAUCUUGACCUCCUUGAACUGCAAUGACCAUCUUAGCUGACUCGGUCCACAUUUGCUUGUUCCUGUUCCUCCUAUUGGUCCUCUUCCUUGAUUCAUGCCGGGAUUGCUCUGAGAUUUGUGUAGUCUUGUUCUUGAAGGAAAAUGUCUCCUUCCUCCCCUUGAUGUAGAAACUGAUAUUGGUAGCACUAUCGUAUAUGGCAGCUCCCGAGAUGUUCAGGAAUGGCCUCCCUAGGAUGAUAGGUGCCCUCUCAUCAGUACCAGUCUCUAUCACCACAAAGUCUGCUGGGGCGUACAAGGUACCAACUCAGACGCAGAGGUUCUUCAAUAUUCCCUUUGGGAAACUGAGUGCUUCUGGGAAGUCCACCAUGCCGAUGGAGAUCGGGAUGACGGGGCGUCCUGGAUCGCCUCUCUGAGUAGUUAGGCCUCUGUUGAUUCCAACCUUGAUUUUGUUGAGGACGGUUGUAAUAGUACUAGUAGUAGUUGUUGUUAUUAUAGUUCACGUCCUCAAGCAUUUCAAGGCAGUGAUUGCAUGAGUGUCCAGUAUAUCCAGUGUGUUUAUGCUCGUAGAUCCAGGUUCUUCACUUGGUGGAGUCUGAGAGUUGUAAAACUCCUUCAUAUUUUGCUCGAAGUGUACCUGCUCAUAGAGACAAGGCAGAGAGUGCAUGGGCCCUGUUGGUGGAAAACACCAACAGAACCAAAAGUGUAUUUGUUCUUCUCUAACCUUAAGCAUAGUGAGCAAGACAAAGUUGAUGGAUAAUAAGAUCAUGAGUAUAGCAUUUAAAACAUUUGUCAGAUCAGAUUGCUCAACCUAAUGGAAAGAUAAUCUAUCUAUAUUUAUGUGUUUUUUAUGUAUCUUCCAAACAUUGAGUGUGCAACAUUUUAGCUCAUAUGGUUAGGAGUGUGGGAUCACAAAGGUGGAAGGACUAAACAUAUUGAAUCGAUUGGGUUGGUUAAUCUAGAGUUGUAAAUCAUACAUGUUUGUCUCUUUUAUUCAUGUGAACGCCAGAACCAAGGAGAAGCUUAUAAAAGUGAUAGUCAAGUACCUUAAGAUGUUACCUACUUGAAGAGUGAUGGUACAAUAUCACCUUGUGGAAGCUUUUCUUUCUUAGCGGUUGUGCAUCGUGCUUGUGGCACCCUCCAUGGAUCAUCUCUUGUGAGCUAUGCCUUCCUUGUGUAAAUUGUUAACCUUUAUGUGUCUCUCUCUUUGUCUCUAAUGUGGGUUUAUCUCAGGACUUCCCAGGUCGAUAUUGAAAGUUUUCCUAUAGGGGUUAGUCCAACAAAAUAUCCAAUAUCUACUAUAGCAUACUAUCGGCUCAAAAAUCAACCUAGACACCAUGUCUAAUUUGAUUUAGGAGGGCGUUUUAACCUAAGCACCAUGCUUAAUUUAAAAUCCCUUAGAAGUAAGAUCAUCGUUCCUAAACUAAGCACCAUGCUUAAUUAAGAGAUAAAUGAAACUACUCCAAACCUAGACAUAUACUAAAGCAAAUAAAGGUAGCAUGAGAGCAUUUAUAGAGAUCUACUCAAGUGGAGAUGAAGUAGUGUGAUUAGUAUUUAACAAAUUGAGCAUGUCUCAAAGGUAGGGACAACCAACAUAGAAACAUGGCAAAGGAUGUUUUUAUGUAAAGUACUCCCCAAGCUUGAAUUUUGCAAAAUUCAAGUUUGGAUGAAUUUAAUUUAAUGUUGUAUGAUGAUUGGUUGGACAUACCUUGUGCUUGUCAUUCAUCCGAUCUUCUUGCUCCAAUCUUGGAAAGGUUAGUGACAAGAAUACCCGAAGGAAUUUUUUACAAUUAUCCUUAUAUGCUCAAUACACAAGGUAAUGUUGUAAAUAAUUAAAAGCUUAUGUUACGAUCUAAGCUUGUCCUUGGGAAACCAUCAAUUUAUGUCGGCAAAGUGGUUUCCCCUCCAACGCUGACCUAUAUCAACUCAACGAGAUCUGCAAUAUUUAUUAUAGACAUAUGCAUCGAUAACCGCCCUUUUAAGGUUUUUAUAAAUAGAAAGCAUGAGGGGGUUGGAGAUCUUGAAUGUGGUGAUGUUGGAAAAACCAAUGGAUUGGUAAGAUGUUGCAUAUGAGCAUGGAGUAAAUGAAGUGGCUAUGAAAUAAAUUCCAUGCUCAUUAAUGCUUGGAGUGAAAUCCAUUUGGUAUGGUGAAAAUGGUAGGGUGAGUGUGGUAAAAAAAAGAAAAGAAAAAGGAUACACGGACGACUUGGUUCGAAACUAGCACAACUACUGUUCCCCCGCAACGGCGCCAGAAAGCUUGUUGGGUAUUUUAAACGCAAACAGAAAAAUCCGCAAGCGCACGGAUACCGAUGUAGCUUUCAGCCGGGAGUAUUCCAGAGUAUCGAUUUUCCACAGGGAACGUGAGUGUACUAAUUAAGAUUCAAGAUCGCCCAAGGAUAACUAUAUAAUUAUUUUUGGUGGGAAGAGAGAAAGUUUCCGAGAGUUCUCUAGUUGAUCUAAGAAUCAAGAAUUACUUCAAAGAUUAUUGUUGGGUAUUCUUAACAUCAUUACCAAAAGUAGACUAAGUUCUCUAAAUCUAGUAACGGUGCCAAAAAUGCCAAACCUAUCCCUCACACCACUUAAGCCAAGUUGUCAUCCCCAGCAUGACAUGAGAGACGCGGUAUUGAAAUAUGCAAUUGCUCUUCUAAAUAAAUAAUGAAUGGGAUCUGCAAGCGCACAGAUUAAUACCGAUGCAGCAUUUUAACCGGGAAGUAUUCCAGGUAUCGUUAUUUAUAUUUUUACCACUGGGAAGGGAUUAGCAAUCAUCAAUAUUGAUUACAGAAUAGAAUAUGAGAUUGAGCAUCUAUCAUUGCAUGUAUAAUUGAGAACAUUAUAUCUAACUCUUCAUACAGGGAUAAGUGUCACAUAAAAGAUAUAUGAAAUAAUAAUAGUGACAAGGAUAACUAAUCUGAUCUAGCCACAUAAUAAAUAUGAUAAGCACCUCAAUUAGAUACUCUAGAAAGUCAUUAGCAUGGUAUUAGAACGAACUACAAGAAUAUUCCCUAAGUUAUUCUCAACUAUAUAGUCUAGCAUUAUCAUAGUUAGUGCAAGCAUACUUAGCAAUCCUUGUGAGACAAGACUACGCCCAUGCAUAGUGAUAUUAGCAAGGAAUAUGAGAAACAUAGCAAUCACUCCCCUGUAAUAAUGUUGCUCUGCCAGCCCAAUACACGAGAGGGGGACUAUAUAAGAAUCAAUGAAGCUGUCACUAUCACGAACCACCCCACGAUCUGGCAUAUUGGGUACAAACGCAGAUAAAUACGGUAUAAGCACCACGCCUACACAAUAUCUAUCAUUUAUCCAUGGAUCCGAUGGAUAAACGCUAUACGAUCCUAAGCAUGUAUAUAGAUCGAAUCUAACUAAGCCAAGUACAUAACUAUGAUAAACUAAAAACAAUAUAAUCUUGAAUAUAAGCAAGUAGAGCAAAGUCAUAAGCAAUAUAUUGAAGUAGAACAAAGUCAUAUUCAUAAUAUUGAAGAACAAAGAUAAUUAGAAAGUAAUUAGAAGCACAAUUAGAGAAUUACCAAGAAUCCUCUUGACAGAUCCGGAAACCAAUCGAAGAUUGACUCCUUCUAGUUCUAAUCCUAUGUAGCUAUGCUAAUCUAGAUAUCUAAUUGAUGUGGUGGCUCUAAUCUUGAUCAGAGGCUUCUUCUCCCUUGAUGGAACAAUGAAUUAGGGUUGAGAGGCUCUCUCCUCCAGGGGCCAGGGGGUCUAGUUUUAUAGUCCCUUCAAGUGAAUAUGGGCCCUUGGAUCAAACCGACAUAGAUUGUAUGGUUUAGAUUCAUCCUUUAGGUCGGUGGAGAUCUCCCGCGAAGCAGAGUCCUGAUUGGACUCCUGGAGAGGGCGGGCGCCCAGGGGAACAUGGCGGGCGCCCUGCCUCUGGCCCCGUUUCGCCUCCGCUUCGGUCUCGUGGCUUCUGGAGUCUUCUAGAUGUAAGAUAAUUGCGCGGCACGUUAAUAUCUCUAUGUAAUCCCGACGUGUGGGCCUUUCUUCCGUAUUUCCUAAUAACCCCCUACAGAAAUAGACAAACACCAAAACUCGUGGAAUUCUGUCAGAUAAAACCCUGAGUCUGGAUGUUGAUUUCAUUUGGAUCCUUUUCUUUGUUUAUUUGAUAAUUAAAUUUGAUACUUAAGGACCGUCAACAAACUCCCCCAAGCUUACCUCUUGCUCGUCCCUGAGCAAGGAUAGACUCAGCUAUGGAUCAUAAAUUGUUGCAAUAUCUUUAAAAAUUAACGGUACACAUGCUUUUUAAAUAAGAUCUCACCUCUGAGUUAGAGUAAACUCUCAAGACUUAAAACUUACUUACUUUACCUUCACCAUGGGACUUGUAACCGUCACUUCUGUCUUGAGUAGUUAAAAGAUAGAACAGUCCAGCCAAGUGCCAUGUCUCUUAUUCUUGAUCAGCUAUAGCUCUAGAGUUUUUGUAGAUUUUCAAAUAAAACUCAGAGAUUCCUUGUAUGAUUCUCUCAGAUCUCUCUUUUGUGGUAUUUCUGGAUCCUUACCAAGGCAGUGAUGGUAUAUGCCUUCUCUCAAGAUAUGUGGUAUUUGUGGUAUGAAGCAUAGUGACAUUGUCUUCUCUCUCACCCUACUCUAAUAAGGCUUUAAUAUCUGGAGCUCAUAGGUGGGAGAUAAAGUAUACAUACUUACAAGACAUUUAUUGCAUAGUCAAACCAUGGAUCCAAAGAAACAAAUCAAUAAGUUUAAUCAAGAUGUGCAUGUGUGGCGAAUGAAUGGUGUAUGGUGAUGAUGGUGAUAACAAUGGUGAAAACAAUGGUGGUGGAAGUCUAAUUCUACUUUUGCUCUUUGAGGGGAUACAUACCUUCCUUGCUUUUUGAAACUUUAUGAGGAGAAUGAGAUGCUCUUCUUUUUCUUUUCUCUCAGGUGGGUAUCUUGUACCCCUAAUUCUACUGUCGGACACUUGUCCAUUUUUACCUCUCGUCUCACUUUUUCUUUUUCUUUCUUUCGAGGUUCCGAGCACUUGCUCCUUUUUCUUUCCUCGUAUCUCUUUCUUUUUUUUCUUCUUUUUUUUCUUUUUUUUAGAGCACUCAUCUCUUGAGAUAAUAUAGCAAAUGGUAGUAACAAGAUAACUUGAGCAUUUAUUUCACAAGGGAAAAACAAAAAAUAUUUUUGAUUAUUCUCUCCUGGAUUAGGAGUAGAAUAUUUUUAGGUGGUUCUGGAGAUGGAAAUGGAUGGAUAUAUGUGGAUGGUACUUCCGGAGUAGAAGUAUCAUAUAUGAGUGAACGUGCAAGUGAAAUCUUGAUUUAACCACAUGACAAGCUCCUAAGGGUCUACACAGCUUGACCACACUCAAUGCUCAUAAGCAGUAAAUAUUAAAUGUGUGGCUCAAAGUCUAGCAAGCAUGUAUAUAUGGCUGUGGUAGGAAUUUAAACUCUCAUCAUACAGGAACUCAUCAUGCAACAUUUUAAAGAUUUUCAAAGAUAAAAUUCUCCAGAAUUCUAGCAUCUCUAGGAACAGAUAAACAACAGCUCAACCUUCCCAUAUCAUAUCCGUUAACAACUUAGACUUCAGAUCAAAUUUUCAUCCCACAAGUUUAGGUCUAGAGCAAGCUUUAAAUUAUAACAGUUAUGUCUAAACUUGAGAGAGAACUUAAAAUGUGCAAAUUAGGCAGAGCAACUAUUCAUCAUAUCCAUGCUUAAGUUUUAUUUAGAUACAGAUUAGCAUAGCCACUUUAUUUAUUUAUUAAACACACUAAGCAAAAGACAUAUAUAUAAGCAUGAAAUCUUUAUUUGGUUUUCCAUAGUUAUGUAUAUUUAAAUUCUAAAAUAAUAUAAGUAUAAAGAUAGAUAGAAAGAAAUACUUAUCGGGAUAAAUGGGGGUGCUCUCCCCCAAGCUGAAUUUUGACGUAAUUUCUCUUGAUGUAGCUAGCAGGUGGCAGAGGUGUAUUUGAAAGUCAGCAGCAUUCUGACAGCGAUUAGAAUGUCCUCCGUCUGCUAGUCUUCCUAAAUUCUGUGGAGCUCAAAUAGACAACAAAGCUUGUGGAACUGAUUAAGUGUUAGCAUAAAUAUCUAGCCUUUAUCAUGCUGAGACUCCUUAAUAAUUAUUACUCCCUGUUUUUAUAUUUUCAUUUUAUAAAGCAGAAAAAUAUUUAUUUUAUUUUUAUGCCACCACAGUGAAUGCACUUAUGGGUUUUAUGCCACUCGUAUACUCACAUGGGGCUUACUGUUUUUCAUAUUUUUUAUUUUCUUUUUUUUAGAAUAGCACGAACAUGAUUAACUAAGUAAACUAGUUGGAAUAAUUUGAAAGGGAAAAGAUAACUACCAAGUUUACCUCUUGGCAAGGCGUUUGGUGUUUUUAAGUCCUCCGAACGGGACUCCGUUUUCUCAAUUGUCUUGAGGUUCGUUGGGUGGCAUAGUCGGUACUUCUAGUGGCGCCUCCUCUUCAUGUAUGGUUAUCUUCAUUUUCCACACCUGACUCGGUGCUUCCGUCUCCUCUGGAUAAUUCUGUUUAAACUCAACGUCUUCUGAUCUUACAACUUCUCCUUCAUAGUCUGCCCAUCCGUCCCUGAUGAUCUGCCUCCUCUGGUUGCGGUUGCGUCUUUUCCUUACCUGCUUAGAUUCUACAACGAUAUAGUUAGGGUCAGUAAAGUAACGGCGUACCUUCUCUGAGGGGAAGUGCAUAUGGACUUCUCCGGUUCCAAUAUAGAUAAUUGCUUUAACGGUGCUGAGGAACGGUCUUCCAAGGAUGACGGGUGGAUCGUAUUCAUCUUCUCCCAUGUCAAUAACUUGAAAGUCUGUGUAGACAAAGUGAUCGUCUAUUUUGACUGGGACAUCAGUUAUUAUUCCUUUAACUUCUCGAAAUGUCUGAUCUGCCAUCUGGAGCUGAAUGUAUGUUGGUCUUAGUGGCAUGGUUCCGAACAAGAGCCGAUAGGUGACUGCGGCCAUUAUGUUGACGCCCGAUCCGGUGUCACAAAAUGUCUUGUAGAAGUUGUAUCCAUUUAUGGAGCAGUAAAUGCUUGGCAUUCCUAGGUCGUCCUUCUUGGUCAAACACGGUGACUUAAGUUGGUGAUCUUGGCCUCCAUGAACUACAGUGACCAUCUUAGCUGACUCGGUCCACACUUGCUUGUUCCUGUUCCUCCUGUUGGUUCUCUUCCUUGAUUUACGUCUGGAUUGAUCUGGAAUUUGUGUAGUCUUGUUCUUGAAGAAAAAUGUCUCCUUCCUCCCUUUGACGUAGAAACUGAUCUUGGCAGCACUGGCGUAGAUGAUAGCUCCCGUGGUGUUCAAGAAUGGCCUCCCUAAGAUGAUAGGUGCUCUCUCGUCAUUUCUGGUCUCUACCACUACGAAGUCUCCUGGGGCAUACAAGGUACCAACUCGGACACAAAGGUUCUUCAAUAUUCCUUUUGGAAAAGUUAUCAUCUGAUCUGCAAACUGCAAACACAUGGUUGUUUCUAAUAAAGGAUAUGUAAAGAAUUUUUCAUAGAGUACCCUGGGUAUAAUGUUGACACUAGAGCCAAAGUCGCAGAGUGCUUCUGGAACGUCCACCAUGCCGAUGGAGAUCGGGAUGACGGGGCGUCCUGGAUCGCCUCUCUUGACCGGCAGAAGGUCAGUAGAGAAUUCAUUGACGGGGUUACUCCAAUUACCUGCAUCAUACAUGUCUACAAGAUUUGCAGAUUCUAAUCCUUCCGGUUGUGAUGGUAUACCGGGGUUAGUAGUAGGAACAGCAGCAACUAUUUGAUUUAACUGAGACUCAAUCAUUUUAUUAAAGCUAAUUUGAUUCUUGAUGGCAGUAGAGAAAUUAUCCAUUCUAUUAUUUAUAUUUUCUAGCAUUUUAUCAUUAGAUGCCAAUUUCUUGGAUAGGUUAUCCAUUAGCUUG
rnacentral:lncRNA from 1 species